rnacentral:lncRNA from 1 species
UCCUGUGCACUGCCCUCACUAGGCAGUUUUCGCGCGGAGGGACCGGUCUCCCCGACUUGGGACCGGUCCCCGAGAGCUUCCCUCGGGCGCACGCGUUCGGGAACCGGUCUCUCCCCGGGAGACCGGUCCUCGGGAGACCGGUCCUCACCUGAGAGACCGGUCCCCAAGAGCUUGAUUUUCAGGACUUAGCCAAUUUUUGGCAUCUCUCGCUGGGACCACGUUCGGGAACCGGUCCCCCCCUACCAGGGACCGGUUGCGUCAUGCAACCCCGCUACAACAAGCCAGGGGAACCGGUCUCUUACUUGCAGAGACCGGUCCCCGAGAGCAACAUCAGCCCAAUGAUGCAAUUUGCCUCAUUUGCUCUCGCGGACUCAACUCCAAGGCACUUUUUGUGCUUUGGACAUUCCCAACUCCCACAAAGGGUAUACUUUUGACAAUUAGUCGAUCCUGGAUGAAGUACAAUCCUCAUAUUUCGAGAAUUCACUUCCUUACAUUACUUUUGUUUAGGUAGUUUUCUCUCUUUUGUGUUUUGUUGAGAGAGAGAGAGAUUUUGUAUCCAUGUAUAAAGACCACCUCUGUAUUACCUUCAGUUUAUGUACUCGGGUUUUGUUAUUGUACUACCUUAUGGUUUUAUUUAGUGGAUCUAGCUCUUUACUUAUUUUCUUUUCCUUGUCAUAGAUACUAGAUGUUGUAUACUCUGAUAUCUCUAGAUCUCUUCGUGUUGUUGCUUUAUUUAUUACCUUAUUGUAGACGCCUUAUAUAUUUUAGACGUAUGGCGGGUCUGGACACGCGCCGGGCGGGCUUCCGCUGUGUCCCGGGGCGUGACAGAUCAUGUCUAUGAUGUUCAUAAUGCUACAAUAAGUGACGAUACAUCUCAUUACUAUUCUAACCAUACAUUAUGCCAAUCAAUAUAAGUGUAACAUACUACCACUAGGGUGUCAAUGCUAACAAUGACUAACAUAAGGUCCACAUAUGCACUAUCAUGCAUAUCCACUAGUCCAACUGAUAUAAAUCAUCUAGUAGUAGUUUUCACAUUACACUUUAGGUUUCGUAGUUCAAUCCUCAUCAUGGAUCUACACAUGUGUAGUCCGGCUUGUGCCGUGCCAAAAAUGGCCCCGUAGUAGUCAACAUUCCCACUCUAGGAAUGAGCCUCCCCCACGGCAUCCCAUUUCAGCGCCCAAUCCCGCACGGGCGAGCUUGUGUCACAUAGGCUAUCUCCGGAGUGCCACCUUGUGGGGAGCGACCCUCACAAGAAUGUGUGAAUGAGCACAAAGGCAAGCAAGCGUGAUCAAUAGUAUCCAACUCUCGGUCAUCAUGUCUAAAAUAUGGAAUAAGUGGCAAUGACCCUAAAGGUCCCAUAUAGUAUUACGAUGUCAAGGUUUAUCAUUUAUUAACCCAAAUGUCACUACAUGACGUUCAUGAUUACUAUGUCAAGUAACAGUCACUAGUUCAAAUGCACACAACCAUUGCCAUUAUCCUAUCUAGGGUAGUUCACUUUUGUCCAAGUCUCAAUGAGAGUUCACACUUAGUCUAUUCCACUAAAGCUAAGGAAGUCACUUUCUUAUGGUGUAUGCAUAGUUACCACUAAUUAUUUAUAAUGCUCAUGAUGCAAGCCAUGCACAUAUAUCUUCCUACCCAUACCUCCACCUUAUGGAGUAAUAACAAUUAUGCGAGUGCUUUCAUUCAAUAAUGCCAUAUGCAAAUAUUCAACUAGAAUGAAUGUUCCAACUUGGUUUCUUAUAGAUCUUACAUGUACUACGUUACCAUGCCCCAACUACUUGCCUACAACAAGUGUGAUAUUGUCAUGCAAAUAUAUGCUAAGUCUCAUUCAUGCACAUGUCUAAGUCAUGUAGUUAUGCUAUCAAUCUCAAGGUCAACACCGUGUUAGUUACUAGGUCACAAUACCCUAUUUUCUUGUCUACACAAGUAUAUUAUUUAAUAUGUAAGAUGAUCACUUUACUAAACCGAUAAGUCGAGAUCCCCUAAGGGUCAUACCAUCAUUCAUGCUCUAACAUGCUUUCUAAGGUUGCAUAAAAGAGAAUUCACCAAAUAGGGCUAAUUCAUGCACAAGCUCACAUAAGAGAUUCUACUACAUAGAGCAUCAAAUUGUCUUUACAUAGCAUAUAUGUAAUGUUUCUCAUAAAUUAUCGCAUGUCAUUUUGAGUAUAAAAAACCAUUUAAUUGGAUCUUAAAACUAAAAGGAGGUUUAGGGGGGAGUUCACCUAUUUUGGUGAGAUCAAACCCAUCGGAAAUACUUCGAACUCUUUCGUAACGCCGAACGAAGUUGUCCCCUAAGAUUCUAGCACCCUAAGAAAAAUUCCAAAGGGGUUAAAAGUUACAAAACAACUACUUCAAAAAUUACACAUACAAGGUGUAAAAUAUACCUUGAGUCAAGAAGAACUUGAUCAAAGCCGAAAUCGAAGCUUGAAAAUUUCAAAUCCAAACUAUAAGAGUGUUCUACACUCAUCAAUUCCAACCCUAAAGCCUCAAAUCAAGAAACCCAAAAUAAAAUUCUAGAUUUCUCAUUUCUAGGUUUUAUCUCAAAAAUUCCACUAAAUCAAGAAUCAAAAUAGGGAAACAUGUUUCUAACCUAUCUAAAAGCUUCAAACAAGACUUGGAAUGAGCUAGGGUUGAAGAUCUCUCCUCCAACAAGCUUUUUACCAAGCUCCAAGCCUUCUCCAAAGGUGCAAAGUCCCCAAAAUGCAAAAUAGAGCAAAGAGGGGAGAUCAAAACCUAAAAUCCCAAGCAAAAAGGGAAGAAAAACUAAGGGAAAAAUAGAGUGGAGCUCACCUCUCCCUUUUCUAGUCGCAGCCCAAAAGCCCUUGUCCAAGGGGUGAGGGUGUAUAUAAGUUAUUGCGACAAAAGCGAAAAGAUCCUUCAAAAACUGCCAGACUGCAGUUUACACUGUGUACCGGUUCACGAAAAAGUGUAUCGUUACAAACUACUGUGCGCGCAAACCCGAGCCUCGGGUUGGCGGAAAACAACCCAUCUAUACCGGUACAAUCAUUAAGGUGUAUCGGUACAAAACCCGUUCCGGUACAACCAUUAAGGUGUACCGGUACACUUUCCUGCAGAGACAAACCCGAGAGCAACCCAAUAAUCUUCACUUUGGAGAUAUUAGUGCUAAGUUUAAACCUCGAUUCUCGAAAUACGAGCCAUAGGUCGGAACACUGUCGACGACCCUCCAGAAAGUCUGGAAAAAACUCAGAUCACAAAUCAAACACUCGAACCUCGCAAUUUGCAAAAGUUUAGUGUGUUACAAUUUGGCUAAAGUCCGGAUUACUUUACCGAAGUUUCGGUAUGUUACAUUCUCCACCCCUUAAAAUUAGUUUCGUCCGCGAAACUAACUUAAUUAACAUCUAGAUUUAUACCUUAAUCCAGAUUCUCGAAGAGAUGGGAAUAAUGCUCUCUUAUUGCACUCUCGAGCUCCCAAGUAGCUUCCCGAUCAUCGUGGUUCUUCCAACAAACUUUAACAUAUGAAAUCUCACGGAUUCCUAGUUUUCUUACUUCUCGAUCGAUGAUGUACGUCGGGAACUCUUCAUAAGUCAUAUCCUCUUGAAUCUCGGACGGUUCAAAUGAGAGAAUAUGCUUGGGAUCGUGAAUAUACUUGCGGAGAUUCGAUACAUGAAACACAUCGUGCACUCCCGCAAGCCUCGGUGGUACUGCUAACUUGUAUGCCACCGUGUCAACACGCUCCAAUAUCUCGAACGGUCCAACGUACCGGGGACUUAGUUUUCCACGGACUCCAAACCGUUUAACUCCCCACAUUGGGAUAUUUUUAGGAGUACGCUGUCUCCAACUGCAAACUCUAUAUCCUUUUUUCGCUUGUUGGCAUAGCUCUUUUGCAAGAAUGCGCCGUAGCAAGCCGUUGGCGGGCAAGGCGAACUUUCUUCUCCGCCUCCCGCACCAUAUCUGGGCCAAGAGUAACUCUCUCGCCCACAUCGCUCCAAUGAAUUUGAGAGCGACACUUCUUUCCAUAAAGGGCCUCGAAUGGCGCCAUCGCGAUAUUUCCUUGAUAACUAUUAUUGUACGCGAACUCCGCCAUCGGUAAAUGAUCAUGCCAUCCGCCCUUGUAGUCAAGUACACACGCUCGAAAUAUGUCCUCAAGUAUUUGUAUCAUCCUCUCCGAUCGACCAUCACUUUGAGGAUGAAAUGCCGUACUAAAAUCGAGCCGUGUGCCCAACGCAUCCUGUAGGCUCCUCCAGAAGUGAGAUAUGACCCUCGGGUCUCGAUCCGAUAUAAUAGACACGGGAACCCCAUGAAGUCUCACUACCUCGUCGAGAUAGACUUGAGCCAUCUUAUCUCCCGACCAUGUAGUAUGAAUCUAUAAAAAGUGCGCCGACUUCGUCAAUCGGUCUACUAUCACCCAAAUUGCAUCGUGUCCGCCUUGAGAUCGAGGCAAUCCGGUCACGAAAUCCAUUGUGAUAUUUUUUCAUUUCCAAACGGGUAUAGGUAGGCUUUGCAACUUUCCUACCGGAAACCGGCGCUCCGCCUUGACUUGUUGGCACGUAAGACAUUCUGCUACAAAUUCCCCAAAGUCUUUCUUCAUGCCCGGCCACUAAUAGUAUACUUUCAAAUCUUGAUACAUCUUGGUGCCGCCGGGGUGAAUACUAUAAGGAGAUUGGUGCGCUUCUUGUAUAAUCGCCUUGCGAAUGUCCUCAUUUUUAGGCACACACCAACGAUUUCUAAACCGGAGUGCGCCGUCGGUCCCAAUGCCAAAAUCAUCUACACUACCGCUCUCAACAUCACCCUGCAUCUUUUGGACAUAAGGAUCAGUAGCUUGUAGAUCUUUAAUCUUCUCCAACAAGGUGGGUUGAACCACCAAUGCCGCAAGUGUUGCUGGCAUUCCUGAAGCUACUACCUCAAGACCAAGUCGUUACAUCUCUUUUUGCAAUAAUGGUUGAGGUGUAAUUGCUGAAGCCAAGUUUUCUCACGAUUUUCUACUAAGUGCAUCGACCACGACAUUUGCCUUCCCGGUUGGUAUAAAAUAGUAACGUUGUAAUCCUUUAAUAGCUCUAACCACCGCCGUUGUCGCAUAUUUAACUCCUUUUGGGUGAACAAGUAUUUAAGGCUCUUGUGAUCCGUAUAGAUCUCACAAUGUUCACCGUACAAGUAAUGCCUCCAUAACUUUAGCGCGAAAAUAACCGCCGCUAGCUCAAGGUCAUGAAUCAGGUAGUUCUUUUCAUAAUUCUUCAAUUGGUGCGAAGCAUAAGCUAUAACUCGCCUAUUUUGCAUCAAGACACACCUGAGACCAACAUAGGAAGCAUCACUGUAUACCACAAUACUCUCCCCCGGCGUCGGUAAGGCAAGCACCUGGGUCGAUGUCAAUCUCUUCUUUAAUUCCUCGAAGCUCCGAUCGUAAUCAUCGCUCCAAACAUACUUAACUCCCUUGUGCGUGAGGCGCGUUAGUGGAGUGGUUAUUUUGGCAAACCCCCCCAUGAACCACCGAUAGUAACCCGCAAGUCCAAGAAAGCUACGGACCUCCGCAACACUUGUCGGGCGAGGCCAAUCUUUAAUUGCCUCUACUUUUUUCGGAUCCACCAAAAUGCCAUCACCCGAAAUCACGUGGCCUAGGAAAGUGACUUAUGAAAGCGAAAACUUGCACUUCUUUAAUUUUGCAUAUAGCUUCUAUUUUCGGAGUAUUUCCAACAUGGUCCUCAAAUGCUCCUCGUGUUCUUCCUCACUCCGUGAAUAAACUAACACGUCGUCAAUAAACACCACGACGCACCGGUCUAGCAACGGUCGAAUGACCCGAUUCAUCAAGUCUAUAAAUGCUGCCGGGGCAUUAGUAAGCCCAAACGGCAUAACCAUGAACUCAUAGUGGCCAUACCGCGUACGGUACGCCGUUUUGUGCACGUCCUGGGGCCGUAUCUUCAACUUAUGAUACCCCGACUGUAAGUCGAUCUUUGAGUACACCCUCGACCCUUGCAAUUGAUCGAACAAAUCAUCAAUCCUCGACAACGGGUACUUAUUUUUAAUUGUCACUUUAUUCAACUCGCUGUAAUCCACGCAGAGUCGUCACUUUAUUCAACUCGCGGUAAUCCACGCAGAGUCGAAAUGUGCAAUCCUUCUUCUUUCCAAAUAGCACCAAAGCUCCCCACGGUGACACGCUCGGCCUCACAAAGCUUUUAUCGAGCAAGUCUUGCAAUUGUGCCUUUAGCUCUCUUAGCUCUGUCGGAGCCAUUCUAUACGGAGCCUUCGAAAUUGGCGCCGCCCCGGGAAUCAAAUCAAUAACGAAUUUGAUCUCCCGGUCCGGUGGCAAUCCCGAUAACUCCGCCGAAAAUACAUCCGAAAACUCGCACGACAACUGAAUAUCACUAAGUUCCGGGUGCUCCUUUUGGGCUUCUACCAUUGUCACCAAAUAGGCUUCACAUCCACCCUUAAUCAUUUUUCUCGCCCUCGUCACCGAUACGGUCACCGCGAAGCGUGAGCUUUUACAUGCCUAAUAUACCAACUCUUCCUGAUUAGGCUCACGAAAUGUGAUCACCUUGCUUUUACAAUCUAUCACGGCAUAAUACUUGGAGAGCCAGUUGAUCCCUAAGAUUACAUCGAAUCCCUACAUUCGCUCUAGCACUAGUAGAUCUAUCAGCAUAAUCCAAUCACCGAUCUGUACUGGACAAGCCAAGCACUCAUCAUGAAUAUGAAACGAAUGCUCUGGAGCAUUUACCCACCAAUAAUCCUGAUUAUACGUGAUCUCCAUGCCAUGAGUUUUUGCAAAUGAUGCACCUAUGAACGAAUGUAAUGCACCUGUGUCGAAUAAAGCUCUAGCUCUAGUGCCUUUAAUCAAAAUUAUACCUGCCACGACAUCAUCUGGUGCUACAGGUUGCUCCUCCAUCUGAGUGGCAAAACCCGCCCACUCGGUGCUCUAGAUGUCUCCGGUUGACGCGAUGCAGAUGAGCGUCCAGCCGACAUCGCUGGGGGCAACCCCGCAAGCUAUCUCAGGGUGGAAGGAACUAAUGCCGCUGUCGGUGCAAACGAUCCCCAACUAGGGCACUCCUAGGCCAUAUGCCCCGGUUGAUCGCACUUGUAACACUUUCCUUCACGCUGCGGGCAGGUCGGCGGUCGAUGCUCACCGCCGCAAAUGAGUAGCGUGUGAGGUGGGUUAAUCAUCGGUUUGACUCCUAUGGGUUAUAUAGUCGACAUGUAUUCGGCACGUGUUUUUGCCUAUCGUAAUUGCUCUAUUCAUUGUUCAGCAUGAUUGAAAUAUGAAUUGGAGCUUAGUAUAUUGACUGUAGAUUCAUACAUAUUGGACUUGGAUAUAACAUAGGAGAAAACCAGUGAUUUGGACCUGUCACCUGCUUAACUACCGGAUUUAGCUUUAGGAGCCAUUGUUAUUUUGUAUCGCCGUAGUAUCAGCGUGGUAGAUACCCCAGAUAGUUUAGAUUACUAUUAUGCUCGUGAUGGGAUGCCAAGCCUAUUUUUACAGUAGUGUUUAGACUAUUCCGGAUUGUUGGAUGCUGUCGAGAUUGACGGUGGACCCAGAUUGCCAUUUUAGUAUCAGAUUAUGCUGAAGGCACGUGACUUGUUAGUUGGUAGACUAGUUGGACCCUGUGUACUUGACUAUAGCCUGCGAGAGCCUGAUUGAGCUCGACAGAGAUACGCUUGCAUACUCGGUUGGGUAGCGCCCAUGAGUGCCACUCCGGAGUCGGGCUUAGUGCUUCUGCGUUGAUGUCGAGGUGUCCUGUUUGGACUUGCUAUCCACUGACUGCUUAGUGUGGAGGUAGCUUUAGCUUCGACAGGAGAGACGGGCGUGUUCACAGUCCCUGGGACGGGUAUGAUUACAGUCCCGAGUGAGAUUGGGUCAGGUAUGACAUCUUCUACAGACUGUUAGUGUUAGAGCAUGAUAGUAUAGUGAUUUUUAGUUGUAGAGUUGUUCCAGCAUUAUUUAGUAUCCCACCUACCUUCUGUAGACUUAGUGGGUGGACCGAUGAUGUUGAGGGUGGCACCCACUAAGGACUACAUGUCUUUACAAUAGUUCUCACGCCCAGUUGCUAUUUGCUUUUGCAGAGCCUUCGGUUCCGGCUGCUGCAUCGUCCGAGAUAGAGCGUGGUAAGGGCGUUGCGAGUUAGAGCCCUACCAAACGAGCCGCCGAGUAGCACCAGCUACAGGUAGUUGUAGUUUUUGACUUCCUAUACAUACUGUUGUUGUAUCUCGCUUGGCGAGCUUUUGUUUACCGGAUGUUGUAUGUAUAGUGAACUUUAUUUUUCUAUCUGGUUAUACUUUGGCUAGCAGCUCUGUAGUGUUCCUGAGCUUUGGAUAGGAUUGGCUUCAAUAUUAGUGACUGGUCGACAUCUCUGGAGAGUGUCGAACUAAGUCGGAGUCAAUUCCGCACGAAUUGGAUGCAGAAUUGGACUCGACGCACUCAAUUAAGCAAAACUGGAGUUUUGCCAGUUUCGGGCGCCCAGAACAUUUUUAGGGUCGCCCAGAAACGAGUGUUGAAUUUAACUGAAACUGGAGGCCAAUUCGGAUCCCAUGUUCCGGGUGCCCAGAUGUGGGUCCGGAAAUUCGACAUCGUGAAUAUCGCUUGCUUCGAUGCGUGGCAGGCGGCAGGUGAGUUCCGCCGGAGCCAUUUACGGGCGCAGCACACCGUGAGCAGAGAGUCCGAGGAGCCCGUUUUGUGCAAGCUGGAUGUUCUGGUCGCCCAAAACAUGGUUCCGGGCGCCCAGAAACGCCCGUUUCUGCAGGGACACUGGAUAGCAGCUUCAGUUCCUGAGGCUUUUUGGAUCAUUCUAACUCACUAUAAAUACUUGGUAAACACCCCUUUGCUGCUCUUUUCCCCCCUUCUUCACAGAGAAGUCUCUUUUAGCAUCUCUACCCUCGGAUUUGCCUCAAAUUGCAUUAAACUUCCAUUGAUCCAGCUUGAUGGAGUGCUGAUUCUGUAGUUCUUCAGCGACGACCUCCAGUGUUUUGGCUCGUGCGCGAUGUAGGAAGGUCGGAUUUCGACGAAACUUGGUUUGCUGGAUUCUAGACUUCCAGAGGAAUCUACGAAGCCCUGAAUGGUAGAUUUUGGUUGAGGUUAGCUUGGUCGAACUGAGGUUUUUCUAGACUACUGUUGGCUUUGAGCUGAAAAUAGAAUUUUUGAGCUUUUCUUGAUGCUAUCUUUGUUGGCAGUGGAAUUUUGGACCUGAGUUUGAUCACCCCUCAGUAUUUGCUGAUUUUGGAACUGUUCUCACCUGAUUUGGAGAUCAUUAGGUGAGUUUUGACAUUGGAAUUGAGAAAUCCUAAGCUUAAGGCUAAAAUUGAUGAAUUUUAUUGGAUUUUGGAUGAAUUGUUAUAUCCAGAUCUUGAUGGGCUUUGUUGCUGGUUUGGAGGAGUUUCCAGCAGUGUUGCUUGUGAUCCGAGACCCUCUUGCUGCCAGGAGUUUCACUAGAGGUGGGUUAUCAUCGGUUUCGCUCCUAAGUGCAUGUUUAGUCGACGUGUAUAGUUCGAUUUUUGUAUAUCAUGCUUUAAUUCAUCGAUUAGCAUCUUGAAUGUAAUAUGAAUGUAGAAGCAUGCUGAAAUGAAUAUUUAUAUUAUACAUGUUGGACUUGAAAUUUGACUUAGGAGAAAACCUGCGUUUUGACCCGUCAUAUGUUUAAACUACCAGAUUUAGCUCUAGGAGCCGAGAUUCGAUUGUAUCGUUGCAGUAUUAGUGCGAUGGAUAUCUGGGGUAGUUUAGAAGGCAUUUACGCUCGUGCUGGGAUGCCGAGCUUAUUUUUCAGCAGAGUUUAGGCUGUUUCGGGUCGUUGGGUGCCGUUCGGGUUAGCGGUGGACCCAGAUUCUUGUUUUGGUCACAGAUUGUGCCGAGGGCACGUGGGUUUGGUUUGUAGGCCUGUUUUUACCCUGUUCACUUGACUUUGGCUAAUUGGAGCCUGUUUGAGCUCGACAUAGAUACGCUGCAUACUCGGUUGGGUAGCGCCCACGAGUGCCACUCCGGAGUUAGGCUUUGUGCUUUCGCGUUGGUGUCGCUCAUGCCGGUUGGACUUACUCUCCACGGACCAGUUAGUGUGGAUAGAGCUGGAUAGUCGCAACUCGGCAGGGACGGGUGUGUUCACAGUCCCAGGGACGGGUAUGUCUACAGUCCCGAUUGGAUUGGGUCAGAUUGGACAUUUCCUACAGUUGGUUAGUGUAGAGCAUGAUAGUGUAGUGUUUGAUAGCGGUAGAUUUUAUUCCUGCAUUUACUACUAUUCUUGCUCCCUUCUAUAGACUUAGUGAGUGGACCGAUGUUGUUUUGGGCGGUACCCACUGAGGACUACUUGUUUUUACAGUAGUUCUCACGCCCUGUUGUUACUUCAUUUUUGCAGAGCCAUCGUCUUCGGCUGCUGCUAUUGCUGAUAAGGAUCGAGGCAAGGGCGUCGCGAGUUAGAGCCCUACCCGACGAGCCGAGCUAGGGGUGCCCUACUACAGGUAGUAGUUUUGUUGGAGUUCAUGUACUUACCUACCUUUAACUCGCCAGUGCGAGUAGUUUUUGUGUAUCUUGGAUUUUGGGGUAUGUAUAUGGAACUCAGUUGGUUUUCUCCGUUUCUCCUAACCAGCUCUAUACUACUGUUUGUAGUAUUGUUUGAUUUACAGAUACAGCUAUCGCUUCGUAUACAGGAAAAAUUCCUUUGUAUACGGCGGAUUUGUCGGCGCGCCCGGGGAACGUGUAAUCCGGGGCGUGACAAGCUCUAUACUACUGGUUGUAGGAUUGUAUAUUUUACAGGUACAACUAUCGCUUUGUAUACAGGAGAAAUUUCUUUGUAUACGGCGGAUUUGUCGGCGUGCCCGGAAAAUGAGUAAUCCGGGGCGUGACAAUAUAUAUAUAUAGUAAAGGUACUAUGCUAUCGGAAGUAUAAAUUAGUUGGUACUUUCGAUUUUUUAGCCCUUGGAUCAAAAAUUAUACGGUUGGGAUGAUAGCAGUCCCCUUAGAGUUGAGUGGUCCCCCUAGGGUUGAGCGGUCCUCAUUGGUCAAUAAUAUUAAUCCAAUGGUUAGAAUAAUCAAUGGAGUUGAUCUAAGGGCUAAAAAAUCAGAAGCACCAACUAGUUUAUAUUUUCGAUAGCUUAGUAGCUCUUCUAUAUAUAAAUAUAUAUAUAUAUAGAGAGAGAGAGAGAGAGAGAGAGAGAGUUGAGCUAGAUCUCUAAAGCACAUGAAGGUAGGUGCUUUUGAAAGAGAUAUUUAGUUCAAUAAUAUAUAUAUUUAUUAUAUACUUAUACUUUAUAUAUAUAUAUAUAUAUAUAUACUAUAGUCGUCUCCGAUACUUUCGAACAAGUACGGGAGGCCCGGUGCUUGUAAGUUGUUUUCGAUGACUAGGACCGUUCCGAUUCGCACGAUCGCUCGUUAGGCUCAUGAUCUUCCUAUUGAGAACUAUCUAGAAUCAAUUUAGAUUUUUUUGACAGUAUUUACUAGCCGAUCAAAGAGUCUAAAAUGAUUUUACGGCGUGUGGAAUUUUUAAUGUGUCAACGGCUUGUUAGAGAGUAUCCAAUAUUACAUGAAUUUAAUAAAAAUUUACUUAAUCAAAGUAGCCGAUAUCAUUUCGAUGUAAAUUUGAAUCUUUUAUCACUUUUUUAUGAGAUUUGUUCAUUUUCUAGCGUUCAUUUUUGGUAACUGUUCCUAGACGCACAAACCGAAAUCAAAAAUAUAUGAAUUUGGUUUUCUAGUAGUUCGCUCCAUGGAUGUAAGUUUUAACAACUGAUCGCUGAAUCGAGAACUGUCCACAUUCAACAAGAUUAACAGAACGGGCCACAGCCCAUCCGCGUUACUUUCGACGCAUAGGAGCCUAGCUCUGUUAUUCUCUAUCUUUCUCUCUCUUAUAUUAUAUAUAUAUAUAUACUAGUUAUAGUCAUGUGCAAUGCCCGUCACAUUUAAUUAAAUUAAAGUUAUAUUUAUAUUUUAAAUUUAAAUAAUUAUUGAUAGUAUUAGUCUAUUUAUCAAUUAAUUUUUUUCUAACUUAAAUUUUUUUAAUUUGUAUCCAAAUUUAAAAAUUUGAAGUAAUUCUAAAUUUUAAAUUAAUGAAUUCAUAUUUAAAUUUAUGAACAAAACUCAAAAUUUGAAGUUAAUUUUGAGUCCAUAUUUGAAUAUAAAUGGUUAUAGAGACAUUGAUUUAUUUAACAUCCCAUCUAUUUUUCAAAUUUGAUAUAUUUUUAAGUUAAUUAAUUAUUUUCAAUUUGAAAUACUAUUUACACACCCAAAUAUUGAAAUUUGAAUUAAUUUCAAAUUUUGAAUAAUUUAAAAUUUAAAGUUGAUUUGAUAAACUUAUUUAAAUCAUUCUAUUUUUCAAACUUAAUUUUCUUUUAGUUAGUUAAUUGAGAGAUAGUGAAUACUAAAUAUUUUCAAUGUGAGUUGCGUAGAAUUUUUUUUUGAUGAGUAUGGAAUAUUUUUUUAUGGGGCACUUGUGAAAAAUAUUCAACAGUAGAUAUUUUUAGAUUGACAUAAAGUUGGAUAAGUAUGAAUUUUUUUUAUAUUCUCGUAAAUGAAAUGCAAUAUUUUUUCCUAUUAAAAAAAGGUCUGUCAACAGCUAUUUUAUUAAUAAUCCCAAAUCAAUAUAAAUUUGUGAAUCACAUUUAUUUACAAAUUUAAAAUUUUAAAUUAUAAAUUCUUAUAUUAUAUUUUAUUAAAAAAUAUCUCAUAUUUUAAAUAUUAGUAGAUAAAAUUUAGAUAAUUUUUAUAUAUUCACCUUUAAAAAAAUAUAAUUAAAUAUUAUAUAUGCGGAAGGUAUUAUGUGAUAGGAUAUUAUGUAGGCCGUAUUACGUGUGAGAAAGAAAAUAUUUAAAAAAUUCUUAAAUUGCAAAUAUUAUUUAUGAUAAAAAAUAGAUAUUACGUGGGCUACGGUUAUUAGAAGAUAAGGUGCGCAUAUAAAAUGUAAAAUUCAAUAUGCACUUUUUGAGGGCAAUUCAGAUAAAAAAAGUGACAGAUACUUAAAUCGUCAACUAUUGGAUUAAAUUCGAAGACUAAGAAUUAAUAUAUUUUAUGAUAAUUUAAAAAUAAAAUAUAAAUUGUACGGUUAUGAUUUAUUCUAUUAAACUUGAAUGAAUGAUAUUGCUAGUAUGCGAUUGGAAUUAUAUUAAUAGGGAGCGAUAUUUUGGGAAAGAAAAAAAUUUUAAAACUUGCUCUUUUAUAAGUAGUAUAUAUAUAUAUAAUAUUUACUAAGGAUCUAGGAUACUUUUACAAGCUAUCCAUCCCCAUCUUAUUGCUAUUCAACUUUUUAGCCAUUGGAGUCUACUUUUGUUUACAAAUAGCCCUUGGAUCAAACACUAUUCCACCUACCACCACCCUACCACCUACCUACCACCCAUCUAUCCAACCUUUCACAUCUUCUCCAUCCAAGGCUAAAAACACACAAGUACCACUGGCUGAUACUUGUAACAAGUAUUCUACCCUACUCAUAACUAUAUAUAUAUAUAUACUGCUCUAUAUAUAAUAUGACUACAUACUACGGUAUACUAUGAUAUAUAUAUAUAUAUCAUAUAUAUAUAUAUAUAUAUUAAUUACUAUAUUAUAGAUCACAGUGGGUUUAACGGAGCCCGAUCCGACGAUUUCGAAGUCGCAAGAUCGAAACGAGCCUGGAGCACGGAAGGCUCCAGUGCUUCCGAUCAUAUAUGGUCUCCGUGCUUCCGAUAAUAAUACUAGAUGUAGGUCUACUAUACCUUAUCGUAAGCACGGAGCCUUUCCGUGCGUUCCAGCUCGUUUCGCAUCUUGCGACUUUCCAAUCCGUCCGAUCGGCCUCCCUUACACACUUUGAUCUAGACGUAUUGAAGUACCCUACGAAAUAAAUUUACUGACUUUCUACGAUAUAUUUGCUUACGUGAACGCAAGGGCGCUCAAAAUCAACGGCUACAAAUAAAAAUCCUUACAUAAAAUGUAAUAUGAUGACACUUAAACAUUUUAACAAAGAGGGUCAUUGAUCUUCGUUCUAUACCUACUGUCAAAAAAUUUUUCUAUCAAAAUUUCACGCCGACUUCUGGAUAUCUUUUAACACCCGUUAAAACUUGCAAACGGCUCACCGCGCCAUGCUACAAUUUGUUGAUUUGAGUCCCAUUCGCAUCACUACGGCAAAUGAUCAAUCCGAAAGAAUAAUAAAUUUAUUUUCUAGUACUCCCAAACUACUCUAAAUCAAGCUUUAACGAGCCGAUCCCGACGAAUUCGAAAGUCGCAAGAUCGACAACCGAGCCGCGAAGCACGUAAGGCUCCGUCGCUUCCGAUUAGCAAUAGUAGCCUCACUCUAUACUAUAUACUAUUAUAUAUAUAUAUAUAUAUAUAGUAUUCUAGCCUAUCAAUCUCAACCCAUACCCGCUAGUGCUCGCGGAUUACACGCAAAUUUGCGGGUAUAGACACCAAUUUUUUCAACCUAAAAAAUUACAGAUAAAAAAUUAUGAAACUAUAUUCGUUUAGUGUCAAAUGAAUCCUCUACCAUUUUAGUAGCAAUAGGAAAUUAAUUUGAAAUACACACAAAUAUCCUCGAAGCCCCUAUGGUGGGCAAAACCCAAGCUUUGCUCGACGCGGUACUCAACCACCACCCACCCUCCUUCCCUCUCCUUUUUCCCCGAGUCCAACAAACGUUUUAAAUGUCCCAAUCAAUUCAUCUCUCUCUCUCUCUCCCUCCAUUACCCCGUCCCACCUCUCAUUUCUCCGCUCCAAAAGUUAAUCAUACUCCACACACCUCCAAAAUAAGAACCAUCCACCUCCUACCCCCUUAAUUCCCCUAUAUUUUUAAAGUUCGUCAAGAACCAUCCACCUCCUACCCCCUUAAUUCCCCUAUAUUUUUAAAGUUCGUCUCUCUCUCUCUCUCUCUCUCUCUCUCUCUCUCUCUCUCACUCUAAUUACUUCUUGCGUUAUAAUACGUUAUGCUUGAGUGAGACUAACUCUUUCUUGGCUCCCAUCUUGCUCUCUCCUUUCUCUUUGUGGACUCUUGUACGUAGUGGUUGUGAGCUCCCCCACCAAACAAGCCAAAUAAUCCCGAUCGAGAAGGCACCCAACUCACUACGUACCUCCUCUUCACUUGGGAAGAAGAAAGAGGGGGAGGGGGAGGGGGAGGGAGAGGAGACGGAUCAAGGUGGAAAUGGGCGGCGAGAGGAAGAAUUCGCUUCUUACUCUCGCCGGGCGGGUGCUGAAUUGUGCGGUGAGCUUUGUCGUGUUCUCCGUACUCGACGUUCUCGAUAUAAUCCUCUGCAUUGUCUACAAGCUCAUCGAUUAUGCCGUUGAGGCCGAGUGGAAGCCGUGCUACUGCUCGGCCUCCAAGGACAUGGUUGCCGGCAGCGGCAGCGGCAGCGGAGGCGGGCCAAAGGUGGUGCGGCUCUGCUCGUCGAAGCUCCAGCUGGAGGACGUCUCCGACACGCUGUACGCGCGUCCUUCAGUCGUCAUGGACGCUGCGAGGAAGGCGGGAACCACCGGCAGCGGCGCAUCAGUUGUCGUGAGCCCGGCACCGGCUGCGCCGACGUUCCGGGUCAGCACUGGUGUUGCGGAGAUGAUCCGAGGGAAGAUCGACCGGCAGCGGCCUACGCGGCCGGUGCCCUGCUGGUCCGACUGCUGCUGUAAGAUCUGCAAUUCGUGGAGCACCGCCGCGACCCCUUCCCAGCUUUACGUUCACGUGGAGGGCCCAAGAGGUAAAUGCUGCAUGCCCGAUCGAGUUAGGAUCCGGCCGGUAAAACGCAAACGGUAGUGUAAAUUUUAAAAACCUUACUUUUACCAACUAUAUAUAUAGUCGAUCGGUUUAGAAAUGAAAAAAAAUGCAUAUUGGUACGUAGUUAAUGAUCAAUGAAUUUGUGAUAUAUAUAUAUAUAUAUAUAUAUAUAUAUAUAUUGAAUCGAGAAAUGUGCACGCACAGUAUUGUCAUGCAUCUUUUUAAGUUUUUAAACACGUACUACUAGUCUGUAUAAUUUAAUAUAUUUAUCAAAAAAGAUUAUUGUUCUCAUUUUUAUCGGGCGAAAUAGCUAGUAGAUAAUAAUUUUUAAAAACAUUUUUAAAAGUGAAAAAUUUUAAUUAUUUUUUAAUUUCAUUUCUUAUUGCGAGAUGUAGUAUUUUGGAUGAAAAAAUCAAGCGUCUUAUCUAAAAGUUUACCAGGAGGUCGAACACGGGCAGCGUGCGUAAUGCAUGUGCUUAAUCCAACUAAACUAAAUGACGUCAAUGUUAUACGUACGUACAUUUUAAUUUGAAGAUUAUGUCGUCAUUAAAAUAUUUAUUUGGUGUUCCGGAGGGAAUAUAUAUAUAUAUAUAUAUAUAUAUAUAUGCUACAGAAAUUUUGCUCAUUAAUUAAUUUGCACAGAUGGUACGCAAUCUCGUAAUAUUAUUAUUUUGCGACUAUUAAUUAAAAUUGCCGAUCGACUGAUGAGUGGGCGUGCAUUAACGAAAUUGAGCAGACGGGGCGGCGGUGCCGGCGACGGAGGACGUGGUGUUCAUCCACGGAUUCAUCUCGUCGUCGACGUUCUGGACGGAGACGGUGUUUCCGGCAUUCAGCGAGCUGACAAAGUCGAGGUACCGCCUCUUCGCGAUCGACCUGCUGGGGUUCGGGCGCAGCCCGAAGCCGACGGACUCGCUGUACACUCUGCGGGAGCACCUGGAGAUGAUCGAGAAGUCGGUGCUGAAGCGGUUCGAGAUCGGGAGAUUCCACCUGGUGGCGCACUCGCUGGGGUCGAUCCUGGCCCUGGCGCUGGCGGUGAAGCACCCGGAGGCGGUGCGGUCGCUGACGCUGGUGGCGCCGCCCUACUUCCCGGUGCCCAAGGGGGAGGAGAGGGCGGCCGGGCAGUAUGUGAUGCGGCAGGUGGCGCCGCGGAGGGUGUGGCCGGCCAUCGCGUUCGGGGCGUCGAUGGCGUGCUGGUACGAGCACGUCAGCAGGACCAUCUGCCUGACCAUCUGCAAGCACCACCGCCUGUGGGAUCUGCUCUUCCGACUGCUCACCCGCAACAGGUAUGUAUGUGUGCUCUCAGCCAAUUACACACACCUAGCUAGCACUUAAUUAGCACUUGCCUUGCCUAAUUCCCUUUCCCUUUCCCUUUCCGUUUCCGUUUCCCUUCCUCUAGCUGUGCGUUGUGUUUGCUCUUUCUUCCGUCUCCAACCGUUUCGGUGGCUCCGCUUUUAUUAUUCUCGCCUCGUAUUUAUUCCUUCCCACGUUAUUGGCUUCUCACCCUCUAUUUUGCGCUCCACGUGCCCGGUCCCACAUAAAUAACAACCUGUUUAAUUCGUCCAACACUAGUGCUGCAGGUACACACAAUAUCGACGGAAGAAAAAUGCUACUAGCUAGCUAGCUAUAUAAGGUUAGAAUCAAAUCAAAUCAAAUCAAAUCAAAUCAAAUCAAAUUCGCAUGGUUGGAUUAAUGUGAUCCCUCUUAUUAAUUAAUAUUUAUUUAUUUUAUUUAUUUAUUUAUCACCUCUUUAAAUAUAAAAAUAUAAUAUAAUUAAAUUCAGCAAUACAACAAUUAACGACGUUUUAAUUAAGAGAGAUAUUGCGGAAAAAUCCAAAGCAUUUUUUCCUUUGUCUCGACGAAUAUUAAUUUAUAUAGAAGAUUCCAAAAUAUUAUUUUUCUAAACUGUUGAUGGGCAAGUUGAGAUGCAUGGUAUAUAAGAUUUUGUUUAAUGUAUACAUGCAAUUUUAAUAUAUAUGCUGUAUAUAUAUAUAUAUAUAUAUAUAUAUAUAUAUAUGAUGUUAGCAGAUAUAUAGCAAUGCGGCAAUAUAUAUAUAUGGUUCCCUUUUCCUGAUUCAAAAGUUAAACGGUGAUAUAUCGAUUGCAUGUCGCUAAUUAAAAACUAGCUAGCUAGCUAGUAUAAUAUAGUUAGUUUAAAUCACCGGCCGAUCGAAUUAGUAAAAUUUUGAAUCAUGUACAUUUUAAGCACCUGUCGACUUUGGCUUUAACAAUCAUCGUAUGAUAUGAUUUUUUGUAGUUAUUGCCAAAUCGAUCAUACUUGUGAGCCGCCCGCUCCGUUUGAAUUAAAUGGUAGACAGCACCAAAUAAUUAAGAAGUUAUUGGAAUUCAUUUGAUAUUUUAUUCUCUCACCCACACAGUAGCAAAUUCGGUUUUCCCCGUGGGGCCACUGAGUAUAUAUAAGGUCUGCUUUAUCUGUUUUGCCUCUGGUUUCAAUGGCAACAAUAAUUACCGUGCUUGAUAAAAAAUAAUUAAAAAUUCUGCUGUAGACAGAAAAUUUUGAGCCUCCAAACAAGAAAUUCCGACUGAUACUUUCGAUUAUAUAUACGCGACACUAACUGAAUGUAAUAGUUAUAUGUAUAUAUUAUUAUAUAUAUAUAUAUAUAUAUAUAUAUAUAUAUAUAUAUAUAUAUAUAUGAAAUAUAAUAGGAAUAAAUCUUUUAAUCAGGUUAUAGCAUUUUAGGUGAUUGUUACGCCCAAAUGGUUAAGAAAAAUUAAACGUGCUAGGGUUAGAAUAAUCAUAGAAUGUGUGACGCCCUAGAAAAUGGGGUAUUACAGUGGGUAUUAGAGCCAAUUACCAGCCGAAAAUAUUAGAUAAAUGUCGGCUGAGCCAAAAUUAUAUAGCGAGCUCAUCGGCAGAUCAUAGUUGUGGGUGGAGCACGACUCCCCACAAGGUCAAACGAGACCCCACAAGGUCAAAUGAGAUGAGUCUCAAAUCGCCUAUUGCUUGUGAAUAUGUUUAAGCCUAUCGAGAACGUCGAUAUAAUAGCACUGAAAUAGUUUUAUAUAUGAGAUAUAAUAAAAUAAGAUCAUUUUACCCGAAUAUAGCAUUUUAGGAGUGGCUAGCUAGGUUAAUUUAAGAGAUUAGGAGAUUUAAGCAUGCUAGGACUAAAUGGGCGACUCAUUGGAAAGUGGGGCAUAAUAGUUGAGGAUUGUGGAUCUAAAGUUUCAAUUUUGUUUGUGUCCAAAAGUUAUAAUUUUUUUCCUUAGAAUUUAUUUUAUUUUAUUUUUUGAGUUUUAAUAUUAAAGAAUAUUUUGGAUGAAGUUAAAAUUAAUAUGUGAUAACAGAUCAAGAACUUUGUAGCAAGAAACAGUUGGAAAGUUCCCUAUUAAAAUUUUAUUAAUUAGUUUUUUAGUUUCCCCCGCCCUUAUUUUGAACGGCAGCUUACGAGCUGUCAGAGCCGCGAAGAAAUCGAUGGCCUGACAUAUAUGGUAGGAGUACGUUACGUUUACUUUGCGUAACGACCUCUGAGGUCCUGCCGUGGGAGUGCGGGACGUCGGGUACGAAAUGCGGGAAACAGCUUCGGGUUUCGUACCACCGCGAUCGAGUAGGAAAACCAAGUCAAAUUUUCCACAUAUAUAUCAGGUAGGUUAAUUUCUAAUUGGGAGACGUUAGAUCGAGGAAAAAUUCUAGAAUGCAACGGGUAUAUUAGUGACGUGGCGUAACAAACCAAUCAAAUUAAUUCUUUUAAAAAUAUAUGUCCCAUCAUGAUUGUAAAAAAGUAUUUUUAUUGUAUUUUUGUUUGAAAAGAAGGAAUGUGAUUGGCUUGUUAUUGAUGACGUGGUGCAAGUGUGACAGUGUAGAAUUCCUCUAGAUCGAGACACGUAAAAAUAAGUAAUAACCGAAAGUAAUGUCAGUGGAAACAUAUAUAUAUAUAUAUAUAUGUAUAUAUAUAUAUAUACACAUAUAUAUAUAUAUACAUAUAUAUAUAUAUAUAUAUAUAUAUAUGAUAUAUAUAUAUAAUAUAGAGUGGGCAUAUAUAUUAUAUAUAGAGUGAAGUGAGGCUACUAUGCUAUCAGAAGUCGGAGCCUUCCGUGCUUCCAGCUAGUUUUUGAUCGUUGCACUUCGAAUUGUCGAUCGGUCUCCGUUAAACUUGAAUUCUAUGAGUAUUUGGGAGUACCUACAAUAAUGCGAUAUGGUGCGUUUGCUUCGUUUAACGGAUAGAAGAGCUUCAAAUCAACUAAAAUUUUUUGUUUAAAAAAUCUUUUUAAACUUUUAAAAUAAAAACGAUCUAGACUCUAGAUCCAAAUAUAAAAAAUUGUAUUAUCACUUUUUUCAAGGAUAGUUAUUUCCAGCCAUUUAUUUUUCUGUUUCACUUGAUGGACAGAGAACAAUAUCUGAAAAUGUGUGUUGAAAUUUGGAUUUCCAGGAUAGUUUAAGUAGUUUUAUGAUCUGUGUUGUAACAGUGCCGAUCAUCAAUUUGGAAGCCCUAUAUCAAAACAAAUCGGUAGCUAACGGCUCGUUUUACUACGAUAGUUAUUCUAGCAAAACCCUAUAUUAUAUAGUAUAUAUAUAUAUAUAGAUGAGAGGAGAGAGAGAGAGAGAUGAGGAGAGGAGACGAUGAGAGAGAGAGAGAGAGAACGAGAGAGAGAGAGAGAGGGAUGGAGGAGGGGAGGGGAAGUUGAGCUGGGAAUACUAUCGGUAGCAAACGCGGCUCCGUGCACCAUUUGUUUUCGAUGAUGGGAGCCUCCAAAUCGACGAUUAGUGCCGUUAAAAAUGCAUCAGUAUUACACUUGAUAUGGUAUUCUGAGAAUCAAAUUUCAUGCUUUUCCGAAUAUUUUCUCUUGUUCACUCAAGUGGGCGGUAUAAUGAGAUGGCUAAAAAUGAAUAUCAUCUACAAAAGUGAUGAUAGGAAUUGUUCUAAUCAAGGAUCGAGGUAGUGAGAUCUUGUUCUAAAUAGUUUAAAGAAUUUUAAAAUAACGAAAAUAUUCAAUUGAUUGGAUAGGUUACACGUAAACGAGAAAACCCUAUAUUUGACCAUUAAAAUUUACAAAUUUUUGAAACCCUUUGAAUCUAUUAGGUCAGAUGGAUGCGUCGGAGAAAGAUUUUGAAAUUAAUUUCGAGAUACUUCAAAGUGGUAUAGAUCAUGAUUCAACCGCCAGGGCUUACCGAUUAUCGAUUUGGAGGAUCUAAUCAGCUGAAAUUUAAAUGGAUGGCACAGGGGAGCCGUUGCUAUCGAUAGAUUCUACCUCAAACUUCUAUAUAUAUAUAUAAAUAUUAUAUAUUAGUCCGGCUAGGGGGGAUACUAUCGGGGAUAGCGCACAAGGAUUUGGUCAUCAAGUUGUUCUGCCGUUUCUUACAUUUACCUUUUUAUCAUUUUAUCCAUUGAUUAUACUAUUCAACGCAACACCCAUCAACAUAGAAGGACCCCAUCCAUCCUAACUAUACAUUUUUUAAUCCAAAAGGACAGCCAAAACUUAAUGUACCAGAUAUGGUACUAUUAAUAGUAUUCCAGCUAGUUAUUAUAUAUAUAUAUAUAUAUAUAUAUAUAUAUAUUAAUAUUAUAUAUAUAUAUAUAUAUAUAUAUAUAUAUAUAUAUAGGCUUGACGCUAGGAAUACUCUCAGAUAGUAAAAUGAUUGCAUAUUUACUAUCGAGUUGUUUUCGAUCAUAGAGCUUCCAAAUUGACGAUCGGCUCCGUUGAACAUGAUCUAUACCACUUGAAGUGUUUAGAAAUCAAAUUUCAAAUCUUUUCGACAUCAUUUGCCUAAUGAUCAAAGCGUUUCAAAAUUUGUAAUUUUAAUGGUGGAUAAGAAACGUUUUCUCGUUUAAUGGUGUAAAGAUAUCCAAAUCAAUUGAAUUUUUGUUAGAAAAUUCUUUAAACUAUUUAAAACAAGAUCUAUACUCUUGAUCUUGAUUACAAGACUCCUAUCAUCAUUUUUUAAAGAAUAUUCAUUUUCAACCAUUCAUUUUCUGUUCACUAGAUGGAUAAAAGAACAAUGUCGAAAGUGCGUGAAAUUUAAUUUCUCGAUAGUUUAAAUGGUUUAGAUCAUAUUUAACGGAGCCGAUCGUCAAUUUGGAAGCUCUAUCAUCGAAAACAACUCGAUAGUAAAACGCUCCGUUUACUAUCGAGAGUAUUCUAGCUCAACUCUAUAUAUAUAUAUAUAUAUAUAUAUAUAUAUAGAUAUAUAUAUAUGCUCACUCAUGAUUAAAUAUUAAAAUAAUCUUUUGAAUAUUUAGACAGUACUGGUUUAUGCCGCUUCGUUAAUUAGGUGCUAGGUGAUCUUUUCUUUUCUUUUCUUAUCUUUUUUUUGAGAAAAAUCUCUUUAUGAAUUACCAAGAUAUAUAAUUGUGCCAAAAUAUUAGUCGAUUUUGUAUUGCACUAAAGUGACGUACAAGGGUUCAAUUACACCAAUCUCCUAAGGCUCUAUUCGAAAGUGGGUUAUUCGGUAUAAAUAUUUUCUUAUGUGAUUGUAAGAAAGAAAUUUAAUUUCUGCUCCUUGAAAGAUUUUAAUAUCUAUGAUUUGGUAGGAUAACGUAUUUCACUUAUGAGAUAUUUAUCUUAUCCGAAAAAAUAAUUUAAAGGCUGAAUAUAAUAUUUAAUUUUAGACAUUUGAUCAUGCUCCUUAUCUACCAAACAUACAAACUUUUUAAAUAAAUUAUGAAGAUAUACUAAAUAAGAUAUUCGUACAUCCAAAUAAUGCCUAACUGUAUGAAUCUCGCCAAUAGUCCUAUUUACUUCUAAGUAAUAUUAGUAGGCAUAGUAGUACUAUGGGCAUGUUUUAUUUCGGGAUAAAGAGCGAGCAAUUAACUAAAGUUAUCCCCUACUAUUCCAUCACACCUUUUAAAGGAAAAAGAAAAAAAACUGAAUAGUUAUUCUGAUUAAACCAUGGUAUUCUAAAUAAUCCAAAAAUAAUCUCAAAAUAAAUUCUCCACAUUUCCAAUGGUAUAGGGCUAUUCUUAAUUAUGAUCGUCUUAGAUUAUUUCGGACAAUUCAAGUAAGAAAAAUGUAUGCCUAUAUCGUAUAUUACAUAUAUAUUUAAGUAUAUUAAUUAUAGAGAUAAUUUAAUGAAUGUUCCGUUACUAUAAUAUCGUUAUACUCUCCUAAAUUUAAUAUUAUUAUAGUGUCCGGCUACUAUGCUAUCGGUAGCACGGAGCGCUUCGUACUAUCAAGUUGUUUUUGAUGAUACGGCUUCCAAAUCGACGGUCGGCUCCGUUAGACUGAUCUACACUAUUGAAAGUAUUUGAAAACUAAAUUUUCGAUUUUUUCGACAUUAUUUGACUAGUGAUCAAAAGAUCUCAAAAUUGACAAUUUUAAUGGUCGAUGUGGUAUGUUUGUGAGUUUAACGGUGUAAAACAAUCCAAAUGCUAUGAAAAUUUUAUAGAAAAUUCUUUCCACUAUUUAGAGUAAGAUCAGUAUAUCUGAUCUUGAAUUUAAAUCUUUUAUCAUCGUUUUUCAUGAGAUUUUUAUUUUUAGCCGUUCAAUUGUAGACUACUUGAUUGAUAGGUAAAUGAUAUCGAAAAAUUAUGAAAUUUAGUUUCUAAAUACUUUCAAUAGUGUAGAUCAAGUCUAACUGAGCCGAUUGUCGAUUUGGAAGCCGCAUCAUCGAAAACAACUUGGUAGCACGGAGCGCCGUGCUACCGAUAGUAUAGCAGCCUAGUUCUAUUAUUAUAUAUUCCUAUUAAAUGGUCAUGAAUAUCAUGAAUAUUUUCCUAAUAGUUAGUCUCUAUCCAAAAAUACCCUUCAUAAUUUUAAAAUGCCAAGUUUACUCUUUAUCCAUUAUUUAUUUAUGCUCCUUAAAUUUUCUAUCUGUUGAUAUUCAAAACGUUUCAAAAUUACUCUCAAAAUUUUUUGCCGAUAAUUUUCACCAUCAUGUAUAAAUCACACCGAUAAUUUAAAUUUGAAUAUAAAAUUUAAAUUUAAAAUUCAAGAUCUAAGUUUAAAUUUUGAAUUUGAAUUUAAAAUUUCAAGUCUAUUGUGAAUAUAAAUUCUAAUUUGAAAUUCAAAUUCAAAAUAUGUUCAUAUUUUGAAUCUGAAUUUCAAACGGAAAGUUUGAAAUUAAAUCUAAAACUAAUUCAAAAUCUAGAUUUGGAAGUAAAAUUAAGGACACAAUCUCUAUUUGAAUUCAAAAUUGAAAUUGAAUUUAAAUUCAAAUCUAGAAUUAUAAUUUAAAUUUAAAAUUUGAAAAAAUUAGGUUUAAAAUUGAAAUUCAAUUCAAAUCUAGAUUUUCACUUUAGAGAAUCUAAGAUUAAAAUUUAAACUAAAGUUUGAAUUAAAAAACUAACUAUAACUUUUGAGACUAUUUAAGGAUAAAAUUUAUAUUUUAAAACUUAAUUAGCAUUAAUUAAAUUAGUCUCAAACUAAGGUUAGGGUAACACUCCAUAGUGUGAGAUAAUGAGGGACGAUUAUAUUGGAAGGUUAUAUGUGAUAUUGUAACACCGUGUGAUGUAAUGUAUACUAUAACAAAUUGUAUUAUAAUAAAAAGAACAAUAAUCUAAUUAUCAUUAUCAUUACUACUGCUACCACACACCACCACCAUUGUAUUAUUAUUACAUGAUUCUACAAAAAAAAAAUAGCAUUUAUGUUGUAAGAUAUAAUGAUAUGUUACAAUUUAUCUUCAACUGUUUACUAACUACAUAUAUAUUUUUCUAUUAGCCCCCACUAUCCUGGAGGUAAAUACUAAAUACAAUUUAAUUAUACGUAGGAAUAAAUAAAAUUGAAAUACACAUAAUUUUACACGUAUUUCUAUCUAUUAUCGUAGAAUAAUUAAGUUUCUCAAAUAACAAUAUUUCUUAGGAAAUUGUCUUAAAACCAAACAUAGUCUAUAGGAAUAAUGUGAACUGUGAAUAAGAAUCUUAAGGAUCUAUAUAUGGAACCAUUCUUACACAUAUAUUCCUCAAAAUUUAAUAUUAAUUUUAUUGCUAAACUGCUAUUUUUGUAAGUUAAUUACUACUAGAUCUACAAUCCAAACUGGAUUGCAAUAGUACAGUACCCUUAUUUAAAGAUCAAAUUAAUUUUCUCUACUAACCCUAGCCCCUGUGUGGAUCAUUGUUCUCUUCAUUGGGAUUUUAGACAGUGAAAAUGAAUUUCCUUUCUUUCGCAAUUCGCAUCGCAUAGAAAUUAAGCAGUAGGAAACUCAUUUUACACUGAUUAAUUAGCCUCGCGGCCCGUGAAAUUUCUCUAUAUAUGGGUUUACGUAGUGGAGUUUUUUUUUUUUUUUUUUUUUUUUUUUGAGAGAUAGGUACGUAGCACGCUACCCGCUUCGUUUAUUUCAUUUAGAAAUAAACUUAGCUAGAAAUGUGAAUCAACUAGAAUUCGAAGUUGGGUCUCGGAUACCAACCACUAAACUCUUUGCCACUUGCUCUAUAUAUGGGUUUACGUAGUGGAGUUAAUUUGAUGAACUAUUUAUUAAUGUGCUGUACAUGGUACAAAAUUAGUUGCAAUCAAUUCUGGUACCAUAUACAACAAAUUAAAAGUUACCUACCUCUUUUAACGAUUGUUGACAAGUUACUUAAUUAGCGUCUUCGAGUCCAGUGAGGAACUUAAAACUAAUUAUAAGAAUGAGUAAACUUUAAGGAAACUAAUUUUUCAUCGUUUACUUGUUUGUAUAACCUAUAUAUAUACAUAGAAUUGCCCAAACUAUAGAAUAACUAAUUAAUUGCUUAGAAGCUAGCUAGCUAUAUGUUGACGAUCUCUUCACCUAACCGAAUAGUAGUGUAGACCCAAAAUAUGUGAUUAAUUUUACGUACAUAAGCAAACUGAAGAGUGUGGGCAUGAAAGAAGACCGGAAGAAACUAAAUAUUACUACGCAAGGUGAUCGAUCGGGGAGAGCUAUAGCUAGCUAGGUGUGAAACUGCAGGGUGGGUUUAUCAUGAAUUUGCAAUUAAUUAAAUCUUGAGCAAUGCUCAUAUAUAUUCUAAGCACACGUACAAGAAAAAAAAAAAGAAAAGGAGAAGAAAUAAAAAAAAAAAAGAGCAAACGUACGGUAGGAGUAAAAUCUUAAAUCUUACUUAUUUAAGGGCCGGGUCAAUAUUUUUUCACUAGUUUUAUUAUCAUUUUUUAAAUAUUAUAAAUUUAAAAUGCGUGUCCUAGUUAAUUUUUAUGUGGACGAGCGCAUAAACUUAAUGGUGCUCUCCUUCCUUUGGGAUGUACGUAUAAUAUUUCUCUUAAAUUUUAGACCUCUAGCUUUGUAGCUAGCAGGCUGUUGAAAAAAAAAAAAAGAAAAAAAAAAAGAGGUUAGAGAAAAACCCCACCCACAGCUAGCCCACAUAGGUAGAUAAAUUAAAACAGAAACAAUGGUAAUUAAUGAGGGAGGUGAAAAGCAAGGGACUUGCUAAAAAAUUGGCCCAACAUAUGGUAAUGAGUAGUAUUAUUAAUUAGUACAUCCACUUCUACGGAGCCCGUUAAAUUGAGCAAGUACGGCUGAAUUCUGACGCUCAAGGUGAAAAUGGUUGUACAUUUAUCUAUUAAUAUUAACGCAUCUCUCACCGUCAAAACCUUUUCUGUCAAUAAUACAAUAGAUAUAGUUAGUUCCUGUUUUAUACAUAUAUAUAUAUAUAUGGAUCAGUACCUAAUCUAUAGGCUUAUACUAAUUUUAGGGUAUGUUCCGUUCGCCCUUCUUUCAUUCUGGAAUCGGAACGAACAAAUUCGUUUGUCCGUGUUUAGUAUGCGAAAUUUUCAUUCCGAUUUUGAUUUUCGGAUGAAUGAAAAUCUCCCAAAUUACCCUUUUUUUAAUCCGGUCUAGAAGGCCGGAUUGAAAAUUGAAUCGUGGCGGAAUGAAUUUGUUAGGAUUAAAUUUACCCUUUUUAAACUUAUUUUUUUAAUUAAAACAUACAUAAUUUUAAGUUUAAAAUUUAUAUUUACAAAUUUUAAUUUUAACUUAAAUUAAAAAUUAAAAUUCAAUCAACCAUUUCGAAUUUAAUUUAUAAAAUUUAAUUUGAAUCCUAAAGUUUUAUUCAAUUUUUAUUCAAAAUUUAAAUUAAAUUCAUGGAUUCAAAUUGAAAUUUAAAUUAUAAUGUUAAGUUUGAAUUUGAAUAUUUCAAAAUUUAGUUUUAUAUUUUGAAUUCUCCGUUCAGUUUUCAAUUUUAAUUUUUUAAAAAAAAUAUAUUUAAAAUUUUGACAUCAUUUUAAAAUUUUUACAUAAAAUUUUAAUACUUAAUUUUCAGUUUGAAUUUACACUGAUAUAUUAUAAAAAUAAAAUUGAUAUAUUAAUUUAAUUAUGUUUCUGAUAUCUAUCCGAAUCAAGCACCAGCAAUGAUUUAUUCCGAUUCCGAUUCAGACGGCGAUCCAAACAGAAUGAGAUAGUGACUCAUUCCGAUUCCGUCUCCAGCUUAUUUUCCCUCCGACUUCGAUACCGAUUCCGACUUCGAACCAAAUACACCCUUAGAGAAAGAAGUCUAUGUACCGGAGUCAAAUUCACAACUACUGCAGUGGAAAGAUUAGAUUGCCGGCACUAUAGUAAUAUUAAAUAAAAAUAGUAGAUUAAUGGUAUUUUUGUAAUAGUAAAUAAAAAUAGCAGAUAAUAGCUAGGAGUAAACAAAAAAUAUUGUUGUUGUUAAUAAGGGAGGCAAAAGACAACCCAAGUUAAUUAGUUGGCCCAUGCACCAAUCCGAAAGAUAAUCAGAUCUAGACAAACAUGCAUUUUGUCUGAAAAAUUGGGUUCUCAUAAUUCACUUUGUACUGAUUAAAAUUCUCUGUUUGGAUUCGGAUAUAAAAAUUCAGACAAACUGGGCCAAUGGUCCGAGUUUGGACUAACAGCUUAAAUAAUAAACUACCUUGAAUUAUAUUAAACUACUGCUUAGUUAUUUCAAGAGAUAUAUGAAUUAAGUAUCUCUAAGAUUAUAAUAUUAAUUAAAUCUAGCUACUACAAUCCUUAAUUUGUAUUUUUUUUUUCUUUUGCAUGUGAAAUGAUUUUAAUCAAAUAAAAAUCGUUAAAAAAAUUAAAUUAAAUUUUUUCCUAAUUCAAUUUGAGAAUUAUCUAAUAAAAGAUAUAAAUAUCGAUCGAGUUGCUGAUCUUUAUGGCGUUGUUUGACUUUAUUUAGAUUUGAAACUAUUUGACUUCAUUGUGGUAUAAGUAAAUAUGAGAAUUUGUGGUUUAUUAAUUUCUAAUUUUAAAAAAAAAAUUGUCAAAAUGGGCGCAAAAUUAGAAAAAAAAAAAUUACAAUAUAAUUUUAUUUGAUUUUUUUUUCAAAAAAUCAAUUUAUAAUAAUUUCAAUUCUAAUGAAAUAAAAUAAAUAUAUAAACUUUAAAUCAAAAUUAUAAAAGCAUUUAAAGUACGUACAAAAGUAUUUUUAAAAUGCAAAAUAUCGGGUUAUUAUUGAAAAAAAAAAAGAAGUGACAGAACUAUAAAAUAAUUCACUCUUCUAUAUACAGUAUAGAUAUUAUUAUUAUUAUUAUUAUUAUUAUAGAUACUAAUAAUAAUAGGUAUCGAUGGAUGGAUGGAUGGAUAGAUGGAUGGAUAUACGUACGUGGCAUGCAUAUAUACAAGUGGGUCCAGAUCCGGUUUUAAACUGGGUCUGAUCAUUAAUUUGAAUAUAUAUAUAUAUAUAUAUAUAGUGUAUAUAGUGUAUGCGCUAGCUAGCUGUGUGAAAAUUUUUUAUUAUCCCUAGCUAGCUAGUAAUUAUCGGACCCCGGCCGGCUUGAUGGGUACGUGGGUCGGUAGGUGAAUUUUUAUUCUUGCACACAAAUUAAUUUUAAGUGUUGAGGUGCCGCGCGGCCAUUAAUUAGCGACGAAUCAUUAAUCCACGAGUGUCGUAAUCAAUGAACAGCAUGCAUGUAGCUAGCUAGGCACGAGCAUAAUUAAUUUGGAGGGUGGAGAUAGUUAUGUAUGCUGCCUACCUGGAUGUGAUGAAUUUGAUUUAUGACAGCUAAGUUCGUUAGGACGGUGGUGGAUCCGCUCGCGAGUAAUUGCACGCGAAUUAACACCUCCCACGACCCAUUUUUUCACCGAAUCGGCCGUUUCGAUCGCGUGCGUCCAUCGAAAACCUAAUUUCUUUCUGAUUCUAUUAAUUGUUCAUAUAUAAGAGACAUCUAUCUUUAUACAAGGGAGAGAUCGGAUAAUUAAUUCGGUACAUGGUAUAUAUAUACAUGGAGACAUCUCUAUAUAGUAUACAAUUAUUAUACGACGAAAUUUCUUUUCUCCGAUCGAUAAUAGUGAAGAUGUAAAUGAAAAUAUUUAUUUAUAUAUGUUGACGCUCCCGCAAACUCAAGACGGGUCAAGCACCACAAGAGUUUGGGCAAAAAGUACUAAUUUCUUUGAAUAGUGUAAGAUUUGGACAAAUGUACUGAGAUUUGGUGAAAAAAUCGGUAAGCUGUUGAACGGACGAAGCAAAUGGUAAUGCUAUCGUGCCAUUAGUAUAAUAACGGCGAAUGAAAUUGCGACUCAUUUUGAUAUGGUUGGUGGGUUCGUGAAAGACAUGUUAUCCGCAAUUUUAAUCGCACUUUGAUUAUCACAAUAUGGUUGUGUUGGAGCAGAGUAGAGGGCACCGAGGUCAUCAAAGAACUAUCCAAGCCAUAUAAUUUCAGAGGUUGCAGAGGGUGCCAGGUGCAAGGAGAACUAAUGACCAGAUACUAGCACGAUGAAGGGCAACAAGUUCCGUAGUCAUCGCAUCCCGCCAUUCAAUAAUGGAAGCGGUAUACGAUACAUUUGUGGUUCCCAGAUAUCAGAAAUAGCUGCAAGAAAUUAAUGUAUGAUAAUACAAAAAAAUGCAGGUAGAGUCAAUAGAACCGACAAAUUAUUUUGGACGACGAGUUCUCGAUACACAAUGGUGGUCGGAUCAUCCGAUGAGGCGAUACUUGUUGGGUCCUCAUGUGGUCCUCAUGUGGUGGUGCUUGUACAACAAGAAAAUCUAUAGAGAAUAGAGCCGGUAAAGGUGAGAAGAAGUAGCAGUUGAGGAAUCAGUUGGUUAGGAUUCUUCGGGAGAAGAAAUAGUGGCUGAUGAAAUGUUGAAGCGAAAAAAGAUCAACUAUAAGCAUUGAAAUGGAAAUGACGUCAGCACUCAAACUAGAUUGAACAUAAUUGGGUAAAUGUUCGAGAAAAGAAUGAUAUCUUGAGAAAUAUGCAUGUGACGAGCAAUAGGAUCAUAACAUCGUUGUGUUCAAGAUAUAGCCUAAGAAAACACGAAUAUAUAAUUUCAGGGAGAGUUUGGUCAUUCAUGUCAGGGUGGGAGAACAAAACAAGUGUACACACACACACGCGUGCGCACACACACACACACCCCGGGGGAUAUGGCAGAUAAGAGACUACAAGGCAUGAUAUAAACUAGACACAUAUGUAGAGAAAGCAUCAACCCAAAAAUGUUAAGGCGUAGACCCAUCUAUAAGAUGAGAGUAAGCAGUUUUAAAGAUGUCUCAUAUCAGUGCUUACGCUCAGCAAUGUCAUUUUGUUGAUGCACAUACAUGAAAGUUGUGGCAAAGUAUCAUGUUUAGCAAGGAGUAGAGGAAACUCAUUCGAAAAUACUCAUGCAUGCUGAUCUCUCCAUUUUUUUUUUGGUUAACGUCGAACCAAGUGGGCCCAAAGAUAACAAUAACAACAUCGAAUGCUCCACUUGUCUUGUCUAGCACUAUAACUUCUAAAAGAAUUGGAAGGUAUAGAUGAGAAGAAGUAGACACUAAUGCAGGUAGAGAAGUUGUAGGAUCACGAGCAGCGAGGACAAUAAGCAUCGCAGAAAUAGAGGAACUUAGAACUUGAAGGCAUGUCUCUGCAGCAAUUAGUUUCGCCAGAGCUGCAUCAAUGGUGAGGAAUGGAGUUCGAUGGAGAAGUUGACCACGCAAGGCUUCAAACUUAGGUAGCAAGUGCAUAAGGAACUAGAAUAAACAUUGUUGAUUGUGCACUUGCUUUUGCUUGAAAGCACACUGACAAGCUGAGCAAGUGCGGCAUAAGGGUAUCCAUAGUUGCUAUUUGAUGCCAAAGUGCCUGCAUAAAGUCAUAGAAAAUCGAAAUUAUGCGCUCCUCUUGAUGAGCUGUGGAGAUUGUGUCAUGCCUUGAGUCCGACCAAUUGGACCCGCUUGGACAUGUACAAUAGAUCCACUGGACAAGACAAGUUUUCCCCUACCCAUACGAAGCAGAAACAUACAGCAACCUGUACAAUGCCAUAUAUGAAAUAGUUAUAAUAGAGCAUUAGCGUAAUAUUUCUAAAUUAAAACCACUGCAAACGUACUCAUUUAAAGUUUACCAAACUUAAUACAUUCCAAAAUAUUACAAUUUUAUUGUUCAUAUAAAAAGGUACAAUCUAAACCACGUACUCACAUGGUCUAACUACUCCACAACGCCCUUACUAUGGUCCCGCACCUCAAAGAUAAUAAUAGGAUCUGAAAAUAGGUAAACAACAAUGGAAUAAGAACUUGGAAUGAGUUCUGAAUAGGUGCAACCACUGAAAGUGGUAUUCUAUACUCACCAAGUUCCAAACGGGCGUUAGUAAUAAGUAAUAAUAAACAACAUCUAUUACCACAAUAGAAAAGUAAAUAAGUAAGAUAUAUCUAUAAUGCCUCUCUAUAUAUAUAAUAUGCAAAAAUGGUUUGCUAUGUUAUUUACUACACAUUCACCUCAUUUUAUUUUCUUAAUUUUAACAAACUUGUUCAUUUGGUUUACUUUUCAAUCUCAGUACACACCUUAUGGAGAGUCAAGGAUGAUCGAACUUCUCUCCAAUCGGUAGGCACUUGGGAUUGAAGGAGAUCAGAUUUUCUCUAGUAUGGCAUCGGGAGUUGAGAGGAUUAGACUUCUCCCUUUAUGACACUUCCGAAAAUCGCAACAUGUUUCAUUGUUACACCUUAAGUUCGUGACUUCUAGGGUUGUCAUAAGGUUUAUUUCCAUAUUGUUUUAUUUUCUAGUUCUAGUUUUGCCUAGAGAUACCACUAUAUUCACAUCUUAGGUUUCAAAAUAGGUUAAACGCCACACUUGUUUUCAACAUUUUAUGGUUCACAUAAUACUCACAUGUACAUCUCAAGUAUUUUCUUGUAGUAUAAUAAAGGGAUAAAAUCCUAUUUUCCUAGGCCAAAUGGCAAUAUACAAUUUUGACUCUCUAGAUCCCCUAGCAUGCAACUAAAAUAUAUUUCAGCUUAUAUAAAACUCAUAAAAUAUGCAUGCAACAAAAAAAUAAUUUAGACAAAGAGGAAACUAAAUCUAUUUUGAUUAUAUUCUUUACCUUUUCUUAGAUCUUCUCUAAGAGAUGCUCUUGAUCUUUUUAGAAUACCAAGAAAAUCUUAAAAAUUAAUUCUAACCAAGUUAGAAUCUAAAAAUUCUAUGUUUAGGAAAAUUCCCAAAAUAAACCAGAAGAUUCCAACUUACCUCUUCUCUUCCUGGUAUAAGAAAUGCGGGUGAAAUGGACUUCUUCUCCCUCCAAGAGCGUUCUCUUGAUGAAUUUGACCUUCUCCAAGCUUUCAAGGAAAUAGAUCUUUAAGUUUCAACAAUAGAGAUUUUAGGGCUCUUUUACUGUAAAGAAAGAGAGAAGAGGAUAGUGAGAGAGGAAGAAAUAUAAGAGAAAUUAGGGCUAACUAAUUAAAAGGAUACUCAUAGACGUGCUAUAAUAGCACAUAAACCCGCCGACAAUCCAAAUUUAUAAAGCCAUAAACCUCGACCUUUUAACUAGGAUUCGGGCACCCACUUGUCCGGACUUUCAGGUGCCGGUCCAAACUUUUAGGAGCCCAAAAGCCUCGUAGCUCCCUUUGGUCAAUUGUCUAGAUGCCCGGCCAAUCCGCCCUAUCCAUAAUACGGGUGCCCAAAAUGGACAUCAGGUGUCCAAUUAUUUAAUCCAUCACACAUGCGCUCUCAGGUUGAACAUCCAAAAGACAUUCGGAUGCCCGCGAGGGACUGCUUGAAAGAUUUUUCGAGCGCCAGAUUUUGGUCAACCGAAUAUUCAAUCCUUCACCUCCCAAGUUCUCGGGUUGGGAGUCCGAAAGAGGGUCUGGAUCCUCUUAAGUAGGAUUUGAAAGGUUAAUUUGCAGGCACCUAUGGGGCCAUUCGGGCACUCUAAAGUCAUCCUUCAAGUGAGUCCCACUGUCCGAAAUGGUUUCGGGUGCUUGGGAUCCUGUUUCGAGCGCUUGGGAUCCUAUUUCGGGCAUCCGAGAAGUUUGAUACUUCAGUUUUCACUUCUUUGAAAAUCAAUUUCAAUAUAAAUUAGUUUAUAUUCGGUCCAAAUUCAAACUACACUCCUUCAAACCCAUUUUAAUUGUGUCUAGCAUGACUUAAUCCGUACUUUGUUAAUUUAGCCAAAAUUCAGUAUGUUACAGAUUUUCUAUACUUAGAAAAUAACCAUAACUAUACUAUCUAUAUAUUUGUCUCUAUAUAUCGAUCAAAGAUAGACCACAUCUGGUAAAUGGUGGAUAGGCUGAUUAAUUGCAUACAAAUGUCGAUAUCCACUUGUAUAAAUAAGCCCAUGUGCCCGUCAAUCAGCAGCAAAUCAGGCUUUAGUUUUGUUUCAUCAACUGUUAGAUUGGUACCAUCAAUAUGACUGGUAAGAUCAAGAGUAUUCAAAUAAUAAUUGAAUACACAUCGACCAUUCAUAAUAGUUGGGCACGAUGAGCUUAAUAUCAAUUUGCACAAUAGUAGGUUAGAGGUGAGAGAACUAUUUUUCUUUACAGGUCUAAGCUAUUAGAGAAUGAUCCUUUAACUAUUAUGUGCUCAAAACAUUUUGGCAUCUAAUGGCAGAUUUUGGCUAAAAGCCAAAUAUGCAAAUUGCUAAAACUAAAUUAAAGAUUAGUAUCAAAAGAUUUUGGCAGAAAAUUAGUCUCAAAAGAUUCGGAGUCAAGACCUUAUGCUUUGAUAUCAUUUAGGACAUUGUUUUCACUUCCAUAUAUACUCAAUAGGGAUUAUCUUAAAUUCUGUUGAAUUCGCAGGUCCAUUCCAAUUUAUGAUGUGAUCCAAAAUUUUAGCAGUAAAAUUAAAAAUUUCACUACUAGAAAAUUAGUCAUUAGUGACAUUUAUUUACGCUGCUAAAAGAUCAACGAAUGCCACUAAAAAUUUUAGCAGCAUAUGACACUAACUGUUGCAUAUGCCAAUGUUGCUAAAAGUAUUAGCAGUAUUUAUAAUGAAUGCUGCCAAUGUAAAUCAAUUAGUGUUAUUAGGAACAUGCCUCUAAUAUAAAUCAAUUAGUGUCAUUCGGAACAUGCCGCUAAAAGGGAUUAAAUGCUAAUUUUAACUUAUUUAUUAGUGGGACAUAAAUUAAUAUAACGCCACAAAUACAAAUAUCUGAUUUUAGGGACUCAAGUUUUAAAAUUUUAAUUUUACCCGCUUCAGCUGGAAAUGUGAAUCAACUAGGAUUCAAACUUGAGACCUCAGUUACCAACCAUCAAGCACUUUGUCACUUACGCUAGGAACUCUCAGUUAUAUAUAUUUAAUUUUUUUUAAAUUUUAAGCCUUCAAUUUUAAAAUUUUAAAAUUUUAAAUUCUAAAUUCUAAAUUUAGAUACUAAAUUUAAAUUUUUAAUUUUCAAAUAUUAAAUUUUAAGUUUCAAAAUUUACAAUUUUAAAUGUGAAAUUUUAAAUUUAAAAAAAAUGUAUAAAUUUAAAAAUUAAAAAUUAAAAAUUUAAAUUUUAGAAUUUAAAAUAGAAAAUAUAAAAUCUUAAAAUUCAAAUGUUAAAUUAUAAGUUUAAUUUUAAAAAUUAUAAGUUUCAAAUAUUUAAACUUUAAUUUCAAAACUUUUAAUUCUAAGUAAAAAUAGGAUAUAUUAAUAAUUAUAUAUUGAUUAGUAACGAUAUUUAGUAAUAAGUACUGCUACUUUAUUACAUUUAGUGGCGUUCAUUAAUUUACGCUGCUAAUUUAUCCUAUUUUGUAACAUUAAUAAUAAAUUACUGCUAAAUUAUUAAAUCUAGCGGCAAUUAUUAAAUAAUGCUGUUAAAUAUAUUAAUUAGCUUAAUUUAAAUAAAUAUUGUGAAGUAAGUGUUGCAGCAUUUAGCAAUAAGUGCUGCUAUUUUGUUACAUUUAGUGUUAUUUUUUAUAAAAUGUUGGAAACUUCAGCGGCAUUCACUAAUUUAUCAAGUACGAAUAAUUGUAAAUUGCUACUAAUUGUAACUUCAGCGGCAUUCAAUAAGUGCUGGUAAUUUAUCCUAUUUGUAACAUUAAUUGUAAAUUGCUGCUAAAUUAUUAAAUCUAGCGGCAAUUAUCAAGUAAUACUGUUAAAUAUAUUAAUUAGCAUGAUUUAAAUAAAUGUUGUGGAGUAAAUGUCACUAAAUCAUGAAUUUGUUAUAGAAUUUUAUGAAACUCCAUGGUAGUAGCACUAGAAGCCCACUACUUGCUUUGUGAGUGCAAGGGCAGCGCUCCUGCAAAUUGGAAUAGUUAAGUCGGGGCCAAAGUUUUUCUAACCCCUAAACUUUUGAUCUACCAAUUUAGUUAAACUUAGACUAGUAUCGUUAAUUCUUUAGAGAUUUAACCGCUUACAUAUGUUGAUAGACCUUACUCCGUGGAUUUGUGGUAUCAUAGAGAGCAUGACAUCUAUUUUGCAGGUUAGGAUAUUUUGAGAGACGUAUGUUUUGUACUCAGCUUUCGAUUAUAAAAAGUUUUGCUUCAUCUUUGUUCAUGGAUUCAGGUCAGUGGUCAAACAAGAUUAUUUUCUUGUGAUUUUUUUUUCUUCUCUAUUUUUUGAUUCUCCGUUUUCUUUUAUCUGAUUUUUAGUCUUUGUUGUUACGAGAUACUUACCUCCCAAAUGUCUCACCUUGAAGCUGUGAAUGCCACUAUAUAGUUAGUACAUAUAGACGAAUAUAUAAGCAACGAGUUGAUUUAGGUAAAUAAUUAUUUAGCCACCACUCCAUCCUUCUUCUUUUCACUUAAUUGGAAUUGCCUUUUAUACUCAAAUUUUGGCAUGUUACAUACUAAAUGUUGAAAACUGAUGUGGAUAAAAUUAAAUUGUCUUAGAACUUCGAAGUAGAAAUUUUUCUUCACAGUGUGGGCCAUUAUUUCAUAAAUUGGAAGAUAAAUUAUGUUUGGCAGUAUGUUUAGGAUAUGAAAUCAAGUCUGCAGGAAAACUUAAUUUAUGUAUGCUUCUAACGGAUGAUUCCAAACUUAAUUUAUGUAUGCUUCUAACGGAUGAUUCCUUACGUGAUGCAGGAUGAGGACUUUCCUAAUUGAGGGUUUCAUGUGCCACACUCAUAAUGCUGCAUGGCACACUCUACACAACAUUAUUUGUGGGAGUGCUAACAAGAUGGAGAAUUAUCUAGACAUUGUCAAGAAUCAGCUAAAGUGCAAUGUAACUAUAUUUCACGGCCGAAAAGAUGAGCUCCUCCCUGUUGAUUGUAGCUAUGCUGUCGGGUCGAAGAUCCCUAGGGCUCGUGUUAAGAUCUAUGAUGAGAAGGACCAUAUCACGGUUGUCGUUGGCCAAGAAAGGGUUUUCGCAAGAGAGCUUGAAGAGAUAUGGAAAAAUGCUAUGCAUUAAAUAAGGAGGAGGAAGAAAGAAUUUAAACCUAAAUGAAAUAACUUCCCUCUCAAUGCACAGCUCAAAGAAAUGUGAUGCAAACAAGUGAUGCAUGUUUGAGCAAAUAUAUAUAUAUCUUUUGUUUCUCUCUUUCGUUCUUUUUUAAAAAAAUUUCUUUCUAAAGUACUUAUGUUUUACCACUAUAUGUGGUUCUAUAUGGUACCCCUUAUUCAAGUGUGAAAUAUGUAAGAUAGAAAUAUUAUGGGGAAAGAUAUAGAUUUCUCUACUUUUCAUAUAUUCUUCUUAUGAACUAUGUAGUAUUGUUAGUUAAUAACUUCAUUAUUAAAUCAUCAAUCUUACUACAUCGAGAGGGCAACAAAUUAUAUAUCACUCCCCGAGGCUGUUUUGUAAAAUAUUUUCUUUGAAAACGAGUGAAAAACAUGCUUUUUCUGAACUAAAAAACUGCCCUGAACAAGCACUGAUUCGCCAUACGAACAAAAUCUUCCCUAUCCAAAUGGAUAGAGUUUUUUCUGUACGCAUGACAUAUAUAGAGACAUAAAGUACAACAUCCAACCAUCAAACACAAUAGUAGCAACAACAACGACAAUAGAGAGAUAACAACAUACUAAUAAAUGAUCGACUAUUAUGAUGAAUAAAUGACUACUGCAGCCUCCAAUCUUCACAUACAACAAGUCACCUCCUACAACCAAAAUCAAAUAACAAUAUAUACAGGCCAGAAGCAAGAAUUAAUAAUACUGAAAAGUGAAGAAAUACAGAUACUAAAACCGACUACAAGGAAGCCACCCAAACUACUAAGAAGAACAAAUCUACAAAUGCUAAAUAUACAAUAACUAAAUAAUUAGGAGUUUGAAACAAAAGGUAUAAUUACAACUCAAAGUUACUGCCAGAGGGACUCAUCUAUCUAAUAGUACCUCAUGCACAGGCGGAUAUGUCACCUCUAGUGUCACCUGUGGAAACUAGGGAAUGAAAAACAUGUACACAUAUUUUUCAGUGCGUACUGCAAGCCGUCGAAGGCAAGCUGUACUCACUAGUAAAUAAGAGAGAGAGAGCGAUAAGGUAAAUACGAUAGGUAUAAACAGGUAUAAUUGAUAUAGUAAAAGUAAAACAAGAAAGAAAUCAUGCGACUAAAUAUUUGAAAUAAUAGCACUAUUGUAAAAAGAUAAGCAGAUGUAUAUAUGCAUCAAGCAAAUGAAUACUUCAAUACUCAGUCCCAAUCCAAACAAAUAUUGUCAUGUUGGUCUAAAGACCUUAGGCAAUGCCACACCUAUGCUUAGUCACUAGGCAUAUAAUCCUUCACGCCCUAGGGUUCGGCUCAUGUCACGCCCCGGGGUCCCUUUUCAGUUUAAAACAAAGCGGAAAAGCGUCUGAAAUUUUUUUUUUUUUUGAAAACCUGACCCCAGAGUAUGCCAGAUCCGCCACAAAUACAGGGAAUCCACUGUUCACACGGACAGAGUCUCCCCUGUAUUUGCACGGCGUCGCACAAGUACAAGAAGUCACCCAAGCACAACCACAACAAAUGAACAUACAAAUAACCAACCGUUAUAUAUAUUCAUACGCCAUUCACCACAGAUUCACAUGUAUGCAUAAAUCCACACCUAUCAGUUAAAAUAUUUCCAACCACAGAAACAGGUUUUGAAAUACUAAGAUGCAAAAUCCACAGAAAGCUUUUUGAAAACUGUUUCCUACACGGAAACCUUUAUUCUUUAAAAAUGCUACCACGAGGGGUAGAAAAUAUUUUACUUUACAAAAUCCAGAAAUCCGUUUAUUACAUUCACGAAAAUCCAUAUUUUCAAAUGUAAUAAAAAAUACUGAACCAUAUAACUAUCUAAGCUAUAACAACUGAAAUAAUAAGGGUAAUAACUAUACCGAAAUAACCUGGGUCGGAAGCUCUAUCGACCGCUACACACGUACCUCACGUCUCGUCCCACUACUCAUCGCCCGCGAUACCUGAAAAAUGGUGGGGGAGGUGAGAACAUGUAAACAUGUCUCCCCUCCCAGUGGGUACCGCAAGCCGAAGAAGGCGAGGAGUACUCACCGGAUCAGGAAGAACUAUACAACAACAUGGGUCAGUGGAAAUAAACAAGGUAAUGAGCAGAUAUACAAUAGCGAUAAACUGAAAGGAAGUAAGAACUAUACUGAAUAAACGGCUACCGCUACUGUAACUGGAACAGAAAGCAUACAUGAAUAUCUACUAUAGUAGCAAGACAACUAUAAAGUAAGAUCUGUAAGUAUGCAUGCAACGACUGCUACUAUAAACAUAUGCGUCAAUGGGACAAUCAGUCCAAAAGUACCCAAUCUGAAACCAAUGCUCUCUUGGUCAGCACCGCAGACCUCAAGCCAAUGCCCUGGAGGUCCGCACCGCAACACCUCCCGACAGUACCACUGCCGCUCUAACAUGCAUAUAACCCCUCUAGGGCUCACGGGUUGUCACCAUUCAACCACUUUUCCGGAAAAGAACACUCCUUGCGGUGGAUCAGACCGCCAGUGUUCGUGAAAUGCGACGAGUAUCGGGCGAUCAAUGCAAUAUGGUCAAUGAUCAACCGUCGGCAACCAGCCGACAAUCCUGCCCCCCAGGGCCUAUCGACCGCAUAGGUCAUCAACUGUAAAGAAGCACAAGAACCGACCACUCAGGUCAACUAGGAUGGGACAACAUCGACAUCCUCUCAAACAUAUGCAAAUACUGACUAAUCAAGUCAACUGGGAUGGAACAACUCAACAUCCUACCCACAGUAUGUAGAUACUGAUCAAUGAGUCAACUACUGUAUAUAUGCAAGAAUCGGUCAACAAGUCAUCUGAGUAUAUGAUCUAGAACUACCGUCGGCCACUAGUCGACAAUCCUACCCCUCAGGGUACACCGACCUCAAAGGUCAUCAAACAACAAGAGUCAAGGAACAAACCGACUAUAUACAGAUAUAAGAUACAAGAACGAAUCAACUAGGUCACCGAUUUCACAUAAAAUCACGAAACCGCUCUACUCUAAACAUGAUACAGGAUAUGCAGAAUAGCUAAGUAGAGCAACAAAGAAAUAUGGUAUAACUACUCUACUCCUACUCAUGAUAUAAAGAGAACAACCGAGUAGAGUGUAACUGAACAACAUGGUGCUAGGCUCAACACUAUAUAUCAAGAUAUAUAUAUGCUAGAUAAUAACGAAAGAGCAAAGGUAAGAAACCAUCACCGAGCGUGCACCACUGUACCGACGUCGGAUCGAAGUACCCACCUGUACAACUGUCGCGCCUGUCUCCUGACUGCAAAAGAACGUCAACAGGACCUAUGGAGGGUCCACUGGGUUAGUGUCUAACCCACAACUAAGAAAUACUACAUCGUAAUCCCGCUAACAAACCCACGGAGAUCAGUUUCCCAAAACCGACUACCGUAACUCGCCGGAAGUCCCAAAAAUCGCACCGGGACUCCGUCGGGACCCACGAACUGUCCCGAAAUGUUCCAACUCAGGAUACGAGUCACCCGCUGACACAAAACACACCAAUUUGGAUGUCUUGGCAGAAAACACAAGUUAACACAACUACACAAUUAUCGCCGGAUAAUUGUACGAACUCGGGUUCCCGAAAGUGUCAAAUUCGACACCGGAACCCACCGUCGCUCACUCGUCAUUUCUGAACUCUCGAAAUGACGCAAGUGGCCAGAAAACAAGGCUCGGCGACUACACAAUAGCUCACGAAGCACCGUCGGAAUAAUUCCGAACCGAACCCGCGUUCUAUCGGCGGAUUUCGCCGAAAAACGCAUCGAAAAUCACUUUUCGAUUUUCGCAAGGGCUUGGGGCCUUGGACGAUCAGUCCAGAGGUUAUCCUUAGCCCAAACGUGCUGCCAACAGCAUCUACAUCGAAGCAAAAGUCCUAAAAGCCCAUACCGAUACAUGAAAUCGCAUCAUUUCAUGUGAUUUCUAGGCUUUUCUGGACCGUGCACGCAAACCAGAGGUCGAUUAAUCCGACCGUCGCACUCGCUGACAGGUUUCAUCAUGUCGGAGGCCGUGCUCACCUUUCGGAGCACUGCCGACCACUGCGGUGCGCGCACGAGCGACACGAAAUCUGUGAAACAGUGCGCACAGCGCGAAGGUCGCGACUAACUUGCUAACCAGGGCAUCUUUGCCGCUGUCGGAGGUGAGCACGAUGUUCAGCACGAACCCUAGAUCAUCGUGCUCACUUCUCGAGGUGUCGGGGAGUCAUCGGAUCACCAGAAAGGUGGCCGGAAAGCUUAAAUUGCAAUGCUGGAACUCAAAAACAGCAUACCGGAGCAGUGGGAGCUAGGGUUGGUCGCCGGCGGCCGGGAGGCGGGCACUCUGGCCGGGGAUGGGAGCAGCCGGUCCGAGAGGUCCGGGGAGGGUGCUGGCCGGCGGCGGGCGGCAACCGGUGGCGCGGCGGAGGAGAUCGACUCCGCCCAUUCCCUCUCGGGUUCGUGCUUCCCGGCGGCGCGGCGGCGGCCGGAGGAGGUCGGGGCGGCUACGGUGCGGCGCCGGAGGCCGAGGGGAAAGUGGUGUACCCCCCGGUGGGCGGCGGCGGCACUUGGAUGUCGAGCGGGCCCGACCUCGGCCCGCACAGGUCUGGGUAGCUGCAGGAGAUCUCAGCGGCGGCCGGCGGCGCGCGGGGACGGCGGGGGACGCGCGCGCCGGGUUGUCGGAGGUCGCCGGGGCCGACUGGAGGGCGGCACGGCCGAAGUAAGGCGAGGACGCAGAGUUCGAGCUGGCUCGGUCUGGGUUGACCCGAGUUGGCCGCAGGGAGCGGGGGUGGAUCCGGUGGCGCUCGGGGGUGGUCGGGGCCGACGAGGGAGGACGACGGAGAUGGACCUCGGCCAGAGGAUGAUGCUCCAAGGGUGAAAGAAGCUUCCUUCGCAGCUUCGGCGAAGUCGGAGGAGAGGGUGGCCGAGAGAGCAAGAGAAGAGGUCGGGGUGGCUUUUCCGGCGGCCGGGGCAGCUCGCCGGCGGCUGGGGCGUGCGCGCGGGUUGGGCAGGGAGAAGGUGGGGCGGCUAGGGCUCGGUUCGGCUGAGGAGAAAGCCAAAAGCUAGGGUUUCCUCACGAAACCCUAGUGCAACUACUAUUUACAUAUGUACAAUUGCAAGAUAGUCCUCCCAGGGAUAAUAUUCUCAGUCAAGUCCCUCACAGCAUGUGUAUUUUACACAUACGCACCUCCAUGUCCGAUCUCAAGCAAUUCGGCACAUAAAAUAUUAGAUCUUUUCGCGAUUUAACCGUUUUGCCAAUUUGACCUCUUAGCGAUAACUUUGCAAUUACCGGAGAUCCGUCCGUCGGAUUUUCGAUCCGACUGUGCCAUCGCGUUCAGUACAACGGGGGCAUCGAAACUACGAUUUCGUUUCAUCCAAUUUGGUCACGGAUUCGCGACGGAACCCAUCUGCUCUCUAAUUAAUCCAUAUAUCGUACGUAUACCAAUGUGUAAACCCAUUAAACCAACUUUCGUAUUAGAAAUUGACUUCCCUACCACUAGUAGGGACCCGAAACAUUCUUCACCCUACUCCAGGUCACAAGCACGGGGCACGAGAAGCUUUAGAAUGCACAGAAAAGCAAAGAGCGGAAACCCUCUUUUCGGUAAAACUCCUUUUUCUCGAAAAUCGUGCAUCAGAUCUGAAAUCCGUCAGUGCCAUUGGUUCCAGAACAGCUGAACCGAUCGAAACGAGCUAUUGGAUCGCUAUGAACGGAGUCCGAUAAGCGCCGAAAGCCAACUCUACUCCGUGGCUUCACCGAAAAACUGGAGUUACUAUUCACUUAAGUGAAAACUAAUAAUCACGUAACUUCUCCGUUCUAGCUCAUUUUCUCCUGAAACUUGACGAGUGCUUAUGUAAUUAAAUUACACACAUAAAUAUCGUCAACAGAGAGUUUAGUUGCACUGUAAAAAUCUCAAUCCUUACAGCUCAACGUGGGUUUGCCAAUAGAUCUGCCGCAUACACAAGAAGCCUUGUGUAUACGAAGCGAUAGUAGUACUUGUAAAGUAUAAAAGAACAACUAUAAGCAAGUAAUAGGAUUGUAAAAAACUGCUAAAACUAAAACAUGAUCCACUGUACAUACAUAAGAUCUAGGGAGUACAAUAAAGAAAUCCAAAAGUACAAACAUCAUCUCUCGCAAUUGUAAAAUAAUAUAUAUAUAUAUAUAUACGUAUAAUAUAUAUAUAGAACGUUCGGCUACUAUGCUUAUCGUAGCACGAGCGCUCCGUGCUACCAAGUUGUUUUCGAUGAUGCGGCUUUCUGAUCGACGAUCGGCUCCGUUAGACUUGAUCGAACACUAUUGAAAGUAUUUGAAACUAAAUUUCAAAUUUUUUCGACAUCAUUUGACUAGUGAUCAAAAGAUCUCAAAAUUGACAAUUUUAAUGGCCGAUGUGGGUGUGUUUGUGAGUUAACGGUGUAAAAAUAAUCCAAAUGCGAUGAAAAAUUUAUAUAAAAAUUCUUUUCACUAUUUAGAGUAAGAUCAGUAUAUCUUUUUUGAAUUAAUCUUUUUAUAUCAUUUUUCUAUGAGAUUUUUAUUUUCAGCCGUUCAAUUUUAGACCUACUUGUUUGAUAGGUAAAUAAUAUUCCGAAAACACACUUAUGAACACUUAUUUCUAAAUACUUUCCCACAUAGUAUAGAUUCAAGCUCAACCGGAGCCGAUCGGUCGACUUCUGGAAGUAGCAUCAUCGAAAACAACUUGGCAGCACGGAGCGCUCCGUACUAUCGAUAGUAUAGUAGCCUAGCUCAUAUAUAUAUAUAUAUAUGUAUGUAUGUAUAUAUGUAUAGCAUAGUACUAAUAUAAUAAUAUAGAUAUAUCUAUAUAUAUAUAUGUAUACAUAUAUACAUACAUAUAAUAUAGAUAUAUGUAUAUAUAUUAUAUAUGUAUUAUAUAUAUAUAUACAUAUAUAUAUUACUAUAUAGAUAUAUUAUAUAUGUAUAUAGAUAUAUUACAUAUAUGUAUAUAGAUAUAUCACAUAGAUAUAUAUAGAUAUAUAUAUAUAUAUACUAUAUAUAUAUAUAUACUGUAUAUAUAUAUAUAGUAUGUUAUAUGAUUAUAUCUAUAUCUAGAUUGUAGGAUAUACAUAUAUAUAUAUAUAUAUAUAGUAUAUACACAAUAUAACAUAUAUAUAUAUAUAUUACAUAUAACAUAUAUAUGUAUAUCUACAUACAUAUAUACUAUAUGUAUAUCUACAUAUAUAUAUAAUAGUAUAUAUAUUAUUGUAUAUCUAACAAUAUAGAUAUAUAUGUAUAUAUAUAUAUAUAUUAUAUAUAUAUAUACUGUAUGUAUAUAGUAUAUACUAUAGAAAUUUAAAUAUUCUGUAUAUUAUAUAUAUAUACAGGAUAUACAUAUAUAUAUAUAUAUGUAUGUAAUAUAUAGUAAUAUAUAGUAUAUCUAUAUAUAUAUAGGGUAGUUAUACCAGAUAUAUAUAACCUACCUAUAAUCAUGUAUAUAUAUAGGUAAUACAUAGGUAGGUUAAUACAUAUAUAAUAUAGUAGAAGGUGGUAUACAAUAUAUUAGGGGGGGGGUAGGUUAUAUAACCUACCUAUAUAUAUAUAUAUAUAUAUUAGUUUAGUAUUAAUAUUUAUAUAUAUAUAAUAUAUAUAUACUAUAUAUAUUUAUAUAAUUAUAUAUUAUAACCUACAAUCUAUGAUAUAUAUAUAACCUCCUAUAUAUGGUUAUAUAUAUAUAUAAUAUGUAUAUAAUAAUAUACCUAAUCUAUAUAUAUAUAUAACCGAGUUGGGCUGGGGUGCUUUCGGAAAGAAGCACGGAGCGCUUCCGUGCUUCCACUUUGUUUUCCGAUGUUCGGACUUUCGAAUCGACGAUCGGCUCCGUUAGAGUUGAUCUACGAGCUAUUUAAAGUACCAAGAAUUAAAUUUUGCGAAUUUUUCGAUAUCAUUUGCCUUAAGUGAUCCGAAGGGGCUUCAAAAUCAAUAAUUUUAACGGCCGUGGUGAGCCAGUUUGCAAGUUUAACGGUAUAGAAAUAUCCCAAAUCCACGGAAAAUUUUGAUAGAAUUCUUUAUUACCAUAUAAAACAAGAUCAAUACUUUUGUGAUCUAAAUUUUAAUGGUCGAUAUCAUCAUAUUUUGGUGAGAUUUUUAUUUUCAGCCGUUAUUUGAGCCACUUCGAUCACUAGGGCAAAUGAUAUCGAAAAAUCGCAAAAUUUAUUUUCUAGAUACUUCAAAUACCUAGAUCAAGUCAUAAACGGAGCCGAUCGUCGAUUUGAAAGUCCCAACAUCGGAAAACAAAGUGGAAGCACGAGCGCUCCGUGGCUUCUGAAAGCACCCCCAGACGCUACUCAUAUUAACUUACCUAUAUAUGUAUAUAGUAUAUAGGUAGGUUAUAUUAUAAUAUAUAUACAUAUAUAGGUAGGUUAGUAUAGUAUAUACUAUAUAGGAGUUAUAUAUUAUAUAUAUAGUAGGUAGGUUAUACAUAUAUAUAUAGUUAGGUAGGUUAUAUUAUAUAUAAUAUAAGAUAUAUAUAUAGGUAGUUAGGUAGAUGUAUAUAUAGUAUAUAUAUGAACUAUAUAUAUAUAACUAUAUUAUAUAUAUAUAGGUUAAGUUAUGUAUAUAUAUAUUAUAUAUAUAUUAUAUAUAUAUAUAUAUAUAUAUAGUAUAUAUAUAGUUAGUAGUAUAUAUGUAUAUAUAUAUAGGGUAGGUAGAUGUAUGUAUAUAGGUAGGUUAUAUAUAUAGUAUAUAUAUAUAUAUAUAUAUAUAUAUAUAUAUAUAUAUAUAUAUAGAUAUAUAUAUAUAUACAUAUAUUAUAAUAUAUAUAUGUAUAUACAUAGUAUAUAUAUAUCUAGUAUAUAUAUAUAAUAUAUAUAUAUAUAUAUAUAUAUAUAUAGUAUAUACUAUAAUAUAUAUAUACAUAUAAUAUAAUAUAUCUAUAUUAUAUAUAGUAUAUAUAAUAGUAGGUAGGUUAUAUACCUGAUAUAUUUAUAACCAACAUAUAUAUUAUAGGUUGUUAUACAUAUAUAUAUAUAGUCAUAACCUACUAUAUAUAGUAGUUUAUAUACUAUAUAGGUAGAUUAUACAUAUAUAUAUAUAGGGGUAGUUAUAUAUAUAUAUAGAGAGUAGUUAUACAGAGUAUAUAGGUAGGUUAUAACCUACCUAUAUAUGUAUAUAUUAUUAUAACCGUACAUCGUAUGUAUAUUAUAACCCACCUAUAUAUGUUAUAUAUAUAUAUGUAUAUUGUAGGUAACUACGUAUAUAUAUAUAUAGCUAUAUAUAUAUAUAUAGUAUAUAUAUAUUAAGUAUACAUAUAGUAUAUAUAUAUAUAACUACAGUCGUAUAAUUAUAUAACCUACCGUAUAGUAUGUAUAGUAUAUAUAGGUAAUACAGAUAAGUAUAUAUAUAUAUAUAUAUAUAUAUAGUAUAUUAGUAUAUAUAUAUAUAUAGGAUUAUAUAGUAGUAUAUAUAUAUAUAAUACGUAUAUAUAGUUAUAUAUAUCUGUAUAACCUACCUAUAUAUAUAUAUGAUAUAUAUAUAUAUAAAUAUAGAUAUACUAUAUAUGUAUAUAGAUAUAUCUAUAUAUAGCAUAUAUAGAUAUAUCUUAUAUAUAUAUACAUAUAUACAUAUGAUAUAUAAUAUAUAUAUACAGUAUAUAUAUAUAUAGUAUAUAUAUAUAUAUAUAAUCUUAUAUGUAUAUAUGUAUAUAUAUAUAGAUAUAGUCUAUAUAUGUACUAUAGUAUAUAUAUGGAGUCGGUACUAUACUAUCGGUAGCACGGAGCGCUCCGUGCUACCAAGUUGUUUUGAUGAUGCGGCUUCCAAAUCAACGAUCGGCUCCGUUAGACGUUGAUCUACACUAUUGAAAGUAUUUGGAAACUAAAUUUCAAGGUUUUUUUUACAUCAUUGACUAGUGAUCAAAAGAUCUCAAAAUUUGACAAUUUUAAUGGGCCUAUGUGGUGUUUGUGAGUUUAACGGCUGUAAAACAAUCCAAAUGCGGAUGAAAAUUUUAUAGAAUUCUUUUCACUAUAUUAGAGAAAGAUCAGCAUAUCUGAUCUUGGAAUUUAAAUCUUUAUCAUCCAUUUUUUAUGGAGCAUUUUUAUUUCAUGCCGUUCAAUUUGUGAGGGCUACUUGUGUUGGUAGGUUAAAUGGUAUUGAAAAAUUAUAAAAUUUAGUUUUCUAAAUACUUUUUUAAAUGAGUGUAGAUCAAGUCUAACGGAGCCCGGAUCGUCGAUUUGGAACCGCAUCAUCGAAAACAACUGGUAGCACGAGCCGCUCCGUUGCUACCGAUAGUAUAGUCAGCCUAGCUUAUAUAUAGUAUAUAUAGGUAUAUAUAUAGUAUAAGUAUAGUAAGUAUAUAUAUAUAUACAUAUAUAUGUAUAUAUAAUAUACAUAUUUAUGUUAUAUAAUAUACAUAUAGUAUGUUAUAUAAUCUAUAUAUGAUACUAUAUGUAGUAUAUUUUGUAUACAUAUAUAUAUGUUAUAUAUGUAUAUACAUAUAAUAUAAUAUAUAUAUGUAUAUUAUAUGUAUAUAUAAUAGUAUAUAUGUAUAUGUAUAUGUAUAUAUAUAUAUAUAUUAUGUAUAGUAUAUAUAUGUAGUAUGUAUAUGUAUAUGGUAUAGCUUAUAUAUAUUAUAUAUAUAGUAUUAUAGUAUAUAUGUAUAUAGAUGGGGUAUACAUUAUAUAUAAUGUAUAUAUAUCAUGAUAUGGUAUGGUACUCCGUGCUGUAUAGUAUAUAUAUAUAUGUAUGGUAUAUAGUAGUAAAUAUAUGUAUGUAUAAUAUAUAUGUAUGUAUAUAUAUAUAUAUGUAUAUAAUAUAUUAUGUAUACAUAACAUAUAUAUAUAGUGGUUAGUACGAGUGUUUGAUUAUUAAGAGUAGAUAGUGUAGAGGUACAUAUGAUUGAUAAUUGUAUAAGAGGGGAUACAGGAUAUAUAUAGUAUGUAUAGUGAUAUAAUAUUNNNNNNNNNNNNNNNNNNNNNNNNNNNNNNNNNNNNNNNNNNNNNNNNNNNNNNNNNNNNNNNNNNNNNNNNNNNNNNNNNNNNNNNNNNNNNNNNNNNNUUAUUUAUAGACUUUAGAAUCAAUCGGAGUCGAAUUAGAAAGUUUUCACGGUUUUACACUGUGUACUGGUACACUUUAAGCUGUUACCGGUUACACGAUGACGGAACGAAAAACCUGACGAAACAGUGAAACCGGUUACAUCCUUGAUGGUCGUACUGGUACACAUUUUGUACCGGUACACUUCUGAUGCUGUACCGGUACACUUUGCAAAUUUCCGCCGUUUCGGGUUUUGCAAAGUCCCAAUGCACUUUCUAAUUCGUUAGACAUUGAUAACAUGAUUCUAAUGUCUACAACUAAGUAUGAAUCACCAUAACAUGAAUUUAUACUUUACCUGAGCAUCGUGAUUCAUAUCGUGAGUUAUUUUCCAACUUUUUCAAAAUCCUGAUUUCUUCGAUCUUCGACGAUAUGCACUGGUUCUUCAAGACUCCGACUCACUUCACGAAACUUGCCAAUACACAAGACUUAACAACCUUAGGCCGGUUGGACUAUAGGAAAUAGGCUCGUGAGAGACGAGGUCUAUUUGACUUGUGAGCGAAAGUAUCAUGAUUGGGUAUCUUGAUAACUCUAUAAAGUUGGAGUUGAUCGAAGUGUAUGACUUCUAACUUCGCGGAGGGUUACGUUGGCGGCCGACAACGUAACAUCGGGAGUUAGUGGUGAAGAACACUUCCUUACUUUCGCAUGAUUUGGGUAUUAUCUUUUGAGCGGGGGUUCGAUAGCGUGGGUUUACUAACUUGCGCUUUUAUGAUGUUGUAGUGACGAUGCCGAUUACACGCUCUCAAUCUACCAGAGCGGAUAAUGCGGCAAACUUGGAGGAGGUCGAGACCUCCGCUACCUCCGGAUCCGGUGAGGUCCGUGAGUUGAGGGGCCAGCUUGCGGCCCUCACUGAUAUGGUGGCACAGCAGACAGAGGCAGCGCGCCGGCAGGAGGCGCGGAUGAAGCGCCUGGAGGACCUUCUUCUGCAACAGGCGGCAGCUUCCAGGGAAACUCAGGCCCCUACACCGCCAGCACCAGUCGUGGACGUCACGCCGAGAGCGCCAUCCCCCGCGCCCAGUUCUUCGUGAGCAGCGCCCAUGGCCGCGCCUCAGGAGGAGGCUAUCGCGGCACCACCUGUGCAGAGGCCCCCAGUUGGAGCAGCUUUCCCUACCUUGGUCGAGGGAGUGGAGCGGGACCGACUCAUGGAGCGCCUCAACGAGUUCAGGAGGUGCAGUCCCCGAAUCUUCGACGGCGAGAAGGUCGACCACUGGAUCGUAGAGAAGUGGUUGAUGCAUAUGGAGAAGCUCUUUCGCGACACCUUCGUGGAGGAGAGGGAUCGGGUUUGGCUCGCCACACACCACCUGGACGGCGAGGCCUAUCGCUGGUGGUUGGAUCUCCAGGAGCACCCCAGCACUGAUUUGGCAGCUAUUACUUGGAAGAGGUUCAAGGAGCUUCUUUUGGCGCAUUACUUCCCGACUAGCGUCAAGAGGAAGAUGGAGCAGGAUUUGCGCAACUUGCGCCAGGGAGACAGGACAGUAGCCGAGUACGAGCGGGAGUUUUCUCGGCUUUUACAUUGCGUGCCUUUCGUCGUGCGGGACGACGAGGACAAGGCCCGCAUCUUCGAGCGAGGGUUGCGACCGUCGAUCUUCCGGUUUGUGCAAUCCUCUAACCUCCAAACCUACCAGGAGGUGGUGGAUCGCGCGCUCAUCGUGGAGAGCGGCACGGCAGAUGUCCAAGAGCGGCGAGAGGCUAUGGACAAGGGUAAGGCCAAGAGGCCUGCGGCUGAGGGUGCGAGCCAGACGCACUCUAGGAGGCCGCCGAAGCAUCCUAGGAGCCAGCAGCGUGGGCGUGGCUCGGCGACUCACCAUGGAGGUUCUGACCGACGCCGACCUCCCCAGUGCGUGAUCUGUGGUGGCCCCCACAUUCCACCGCAGUGCCCGCAGCGAGGAGGGAGGUGUUUCCAGUGUGGCCAGGAGGGCCACUUUCGGACCGAGUGCCCGAGGGGUUCGUCACCGGCACCGUCAUCUGCAUCGGCACCGGCUCUACCAGCCGCCAGCCACGGGACUCCAUCAGCGCAGUACCAGCUCGGGCGGCCACCCGCCCAGCGCCAGAGCGAGGGUUCUCGACAGGCCCCGAGUGGGCGUAUGUAUGCCGCUCAGACCGAGGAGGCGGCAGCAGCCGAGGAUGUGGUCGCAGGUAUCAUUUUUACUUGAUGCAUUAGAGUUCGUGCAUUAUUUGAUACCGGUGCAUCGCAUUCAUUCAUAGAUCGGCUGUUUGCCGAGUUGCAUGGCAUCCCUAUGUUUUCUUUGUUGCAUCCGGGACGUGUAGUUGUCCCUGACCACUCUUUGGAUAUUAGAGAGUAUUGCCCCAGUUGCCCUAUUCGGGUAGGAGAUUGGAUUAUGUCCGUGGACUUGCUAGCCUUGCGCAAGCUGGGGGAGUUUGAUGUGGUCUUAGGCAUGGAUUGGUUGACCAAGUUUUAUGCCACGAUAGAUUGCAAGAAUCGCACGGUUACUUUUAGAGAACCGGGGCAAGUUGAGGUGAUAUUUAGAGGAUGCCAGAGUUCGCUUUUUGCGAUGACGAUCAGCUCGUCUCGAGCUAGGCAACUGAUCAGCAGAGGUUGUGUAGCCUACUUGGCUAGUGUUGUGUUGAGGGGCGAGGGUGAUACCCCGAGGAUUGAGGAUAUUCCGGUGGUACGGGAGUUUUGUGACGUGUUUCCAGCUGAGCUACGGGGCAUGCCACCCGAUAGGGAGAUUGAGUUUGUGGUAGAUCUCAUCCCUGGGACUACUCCAAUCUCGAAAGCGCCCUAUAGGAUGUCACCGGCGGAGCUGAAGGAGCUGAGGGCACAGCUGCAGGAUCUUCUGGAUAAAAGCUUCAUUCGACCGAGCGUCUCGCCUUGGGAAGCACCAGUUUUGUUCGUCAAGAAAAAAGACGGAUCACUUCGCCUAUGCGUGGACUAUCGCGAACUUAAUAAAGUCACGAUUAAGAAUAAGUAUCCGUUGCCGAGGAUCGACGACUUGUUUGAUCAGCUUCAGGGAUCGUGUGUGUAUUCCAAGAUCGAUUUGCAGUCGGGAUACCACCAGUUAAAGAUCAAACCCGAGGAUGUAUCGAAGACGGCUUUUAGAACCCGGUAUGGACAUUAUGAGUUCACUGUUAUGCCGUUCGGGCUUACUAAUGCCCCCGCAGCUUUUAUGGAUCUAAUGAAUCGUGUUUUUAAGCCUUAUCUAGACAGGUUCGUCGUGGUGUUCAUAGACGAUAUUUUGGUUUAUUCCCGAAGUGAUACAGAUCACGAGGAGCAUUUGAGGCUUGUACUUCAAGUACUUCGGGAAAAGGAGCUCUAUGCCAAGCUAAAAAAGUGUGAAUUUUGGCUUCGAGAGGUAGCUUUUCUUGGACAUUUGAUUUCAGGAUAGCUGUGGAUCCUAAGAAGAUUGAAGCAAUCAAGGAUUGGCCGAGACCGACGAGCGUCACGGAGAUACAGAGCUUCCUUGGAUUGGCCGGGUACUACCGGAGAUUUGUUGAGGGGUUCGCCAAGCUGUCUACUCCCCUCACGAGGCUCUUAGGAGAGACCGGUCUCCCAGGGACCGGUCCCUCAGGUGAGGACCGGUUCCCGAACGCGAAAAGUCCCCAGACUGCAGGGAGAGCUCUCGGGGACCGGUCCCUUGUCGGGGAGACCGGUCCCUCUGGGCGAAAACAGCCCAGUGAUAGCAGGUUGAGAGAUGAAAAGUUGAGGGGCUAAAGUAGAUUUUGUUACAAUAGAGGGGCAUAUUAGCCCACUCCCCCUCUCAGCCUCUCAUUUCUCUCUCUCCCUCACUCUCAUUUCUCUCUCGCUCUUUCUCUCUCUAAAAAGGAAAGGAGAAAAAGAAGAACAAGAAGGAGAGGAAGGAAAAGAAGAAGAAGAUAAGGAAGGAGAAGAAGAAGGAGAUCAAGAGGAAGGCUUUGAGCACCUCCAUCUCCCUCUCCUCUUCUCUUUGGUGUAGCUCGUGAGGUAAGCUACUAAACCCUAGCUUCUAGAACUUAGGGUUUUGGGUUUUUAUGCUUUGGAGUGGGUCAAAUGGACCCUAGGCAAGCUUCUAAGUAGAUCAAUCCCUUGAUUCUAGGGUUUUAUCGGUGGGUUGCUAUAUGUGCAACCUAGGGCUCCAAAUGGGGCAUUUUGUAAAGUAUGAGAUUGAUCUCAUUUGAGGCCUUGUAAACCCCAUCGAUAGGUGCCCAAACGCGGGGGCGAAGUCGAUUUCGCGAUUCGUCAAGCGGGCUUAGAGCAAUCGGCGGAUUACGGUCGUUUCGGCGCUAUCUUGGAUUAGGGAAGGCUAAAGCCUUUUCGUAAAGCUCGCCGAGGAGCGUUCUUGAGGCCUCUACGUUGAUAAAAGGUGGGGGGUGUCAUCCCGAAGCUUUCGAACUCCUUUCUAUGUCUUAGAUUGCAUUUAAUCUCAUCUCUUCAUGUUGCAUUGUAGGAUUGCAUAGUAGCUCCAUUCCUUAUGCUUUCUAAAUGAUAACCUAGUGUACUUGGAACGCUUGGUAACUUAGAUAGGUGAGGAUUGGGUCGGAACGUGGAUCCUAUGAUGUAAAAGAAAAGAGGUGAACCCGAUGGGGGUAUUGAUGACAUAGAAGGUAGUGUUAGUGUUAAAGAACACAUGAGUGGCAUCCAAAUGUUAAAUGAUGACGAGUGGCAUUAAUGUAGUGUAUAUGACACUAGAGGUUUGAGAACCUAGGGAUAGGUGGAUCCCUUAGAAAAUGCCUUGUGAACAAUGAAUUUAGAAAACUAAAUAGCAUUGCAUGAAUGUCGGGAACCGAUGAUUCCGCGAUAGUCGUUGACCCUAGUGUAGGGCGUCCUCACUUGGAGAGGAUUCGAUUGGGUUAUUGACUCUAGUUGUAGAGCCUCCUCACUUGGAGAGGAUUGGAUUGGGUGUUGACCCUAGUUACAGUGUAUCCUCACUUGGAGAGGAUAGAUCUAGCUCACAGUCUGCGUUUAGGAUGGUAUAGCCAUCCAAUCCCCACAUGGAGGGGAUUGUCGUCGAGUACUCCGGAGUGUCGCGCGACUAGGACCACUUGGAGGUCCGGACCACAUGGAGGUCCGCAGACGGUCCCGGGCUUGGGUGCACUUGGAGCUCCCUCCCCACUUUGGGAUUGGAAGAUGAGUUAUGGGUGAGCCCUAGGGCCUCGCCACAGAUUGGGUAAAUGAAAGGUUAAAGGUUUAAUAAAUGUCAUUGAACAUAGCUAUUCGAACAUGGAUCGAAUUUGGUAGCAUGGUAGCAAACCUUUAUUAUAUGAUGCAUGCAUUCAUAUUCAUGAUUAUGGGCAUAGUAGCAUAGUUUUCCUACUACUGCAUUUACAGCUUUCAGAUACAUAUCUAUCUAUCUAUCUAUCUGUUGUUACUUGUGCCCACUUGGACCUAGUGGGGAGAUCGGCAGAGUCGGCGGCCGAGCCCACUGGGAACUAUGGAAGAUAGUUCUCACCCCACUCUAUUUUCAGUAGUAGGUACAGGGUUAUCGAGAGAGGACCACGGCAAGGGCAUCGCGCCCGAUCAGUGAGACCGUGGUAGUAUAGUAGCUUUCCUUUUGCAGUAGCACACCUAUGUAUUGCGAGAGAUUCAUGUAGGUGAGGCUGGAGAGUUAUGUAUUUUGAGGAUCAAAUGUAUUCAUUUUGGAAAAUGAUGUAAAUGUAAAGAAUGCAACUAUUGUAAUAGUUAGUAAAGUACUCUCUUUAUUUCACUCGUAUAUCUUGUGGAUUACUUGCUCUUCUUGUUGUUGGCACUGUUUGUGCCCUCGUUGAAUAUGUAUGUUUAGAAUUUAAAGCCCUGGGUAAAUUCUUGUGCACAUUCAUGUUAUUGAGCCUUGGGCGGACAGGAGAGGUGCUGUCCGUUCGGCGGACCGUCGCCACGGCCGAAUCGUGCCAAAUUGGUAGUGGUUUCGGGGCGGGGCGUGACAGCCAGCCUCUCGCCAACUUCACUCCAAUGAAGUGGCGAUCUACACUUCCGUCCAUAAAGUGCCUCGAAGGGUGCCAUCUUGAUGCUUGCUUGAUAACUAUUGUUAUAAGCAAACUCCGCCAUCGGUAGAUGCUGCGACCAUCCUCCCUGGAAGUCAAUCACACAUGCUCGGAGCAUAUCCUCUAAAGUACGAAUGGUGCGCUCCGACUGUACGUCACUCUGAGGGUGGAAAACAGUGCUGAAAUCCAAUCGGGUGCCCAAGGCGUCCUGUAGACUCCUCCAAAAGUGAGACACAAACCGAGUGUCUCGGUCCGAUACUAUCGAUAUAGGCACUCCAUGAAGUCGCACAAUCUCAUCAAGGUACACUUGUGCGAGCUUCUCUCCGGUCCAAGUAGUAUGAAUAGGUAUGAAGUGUGCCGACUUCGUCAACCUAUCCACGAUCACCCAUAUAGCCUCAUGCCCGGCCUGAGAGCGGGGCAAUCCAGUCACGAAAUCCAUGGUGAUCUUCUCCCACUUCCACACGGGAAUAGGCAAACUCUGAAGUUUUUCCGCGGGUAAUCGAUGCUCAGCCUUUACUUGUUGGCAAGUUAGACAACGAGCUACAAACUCGCCAACAUCCUUUUUCAUCCCGGGCCACCAAUAGAAUAACUUUAAGUCCUUGUACAUCUUGGUGCCAUCCGGAUGUACAGCAUACGGUGCUCGGUGUGCUUCAUGAAGAAUGUCCUCUUUGAUUUCCGCAUCCGCCGGUACACAUAACCAUCCGCGAAAACACAUCAAUCCUUGGUCAUCCACAAGGAAAUCGCCGGUGCAACCAUUAACCAUUUUAUCUCUAAUCUUUUGCAACUCCGUAUCGGAAGCUUGCUUCUCUUUAAUCCUAUCCACAAGUGUAGGUUGCACCACCAAAGUCAUCAACCUUAAAGACGUGUCUGGAGUCACUACCUCCAACUCCAACCGCUUCAUAUGCUCGAUCAACUGCGGUUGAGCCACAACAUGCAUCGCUAAGUUUUCUGUCGAUUUCCUACUUAGCGCAUCCGCCACCACGUUAGCCUUGCCCGGGUGGUAUAAAAUUGUCAGGUCGUAAUCCUUGAGCAGUUCCAACUAUCUGUGCUGUCUCAAGCUCAACUCCUUCUGAGUGAACAAGUACUUCAAGCUCUUGUGAUCCGUGUACACUUCACACCGCUCGCCAUAAAGAUAGUGGCGCUAUAACUUCAAUGCGAAGACUACGGCCGCCAACUCCAAAUCAUGCGUCGGGUAGUUCUUUUCAUAUUCCUUUAGUUGGCGCGAAGCAUACGCGAUCACUUUGCCAUCCUGCAUCAACACACAACCCAAUCCAUUAAGUGAAGCAUCACUAUAAACCACAUACCCUGCUCCAGCCAUCGGCAGGGUUAGGAUCGGGGCGGUCGUCAAUCUUUGCUUCGAUUCUUGGAAGCUUCUCUCGCAUGCAUCAUUCCAAAUGAACUUGACUCCUUUAUGCGUGAGACCGGUUCCCGAAAGGGGAACCUUCAGGACUUAGCCAAAUUUAGGCUUCCUCUCGCGGGUGUCGCGCACGGGGACCGGUCCCCUCAGCCAGGGACCGGUCGCAUCGGCCUUGCCCCGCGACCCUCAGCUACGGGGACCGGUCCUUCCCUCUAGGGACCGGUCCCCGAGAGCAAAAAUCUGCUGAGUCCAGAUUUUAUCUAUUUGCUCUCGCGGACUCAACUCCAAAGCACUUUUUGUGUUUUGGGCAUUCUUAACUCCCACAAAGGGUAUUCUCUCGACAGUGAGUCGAUCCUGGACAAAGUACAAUCCUCGUAUUUCGAGAAUUCACUUCCUUACACUGGCAUUAGGCUCUGACGUGCUCCAGGAAGCUGAGGACAAGAUUCGUAUUGCUCGGGAGCGACUUUUGACGGCACAGAGUAGACAUAGGAGCUACGCCGACCGACGACGGUGAGACUUGGAGAUCCAAGUUGGAGACCAUGUUUUCUUAAAGGUCUCGCCGACUAGAGGGAUCAGGAGAUUCAGGAUUCGGGGAAAGUUGAGCUCCCGUUUCAUUGGACCGUAUGAGAUUUUGGAACGUGUAGGUCCGGUAGCGUAUCGACUUGCUCUACCACCGAACCUAUCGGGCGUACACAACGUCUUCCAUGUAUCGGUCCUUCGGAAGUACAUCUUCGACCCGACUCAUGUGUUGGAUGCUACACCUGUGGAGUUGCGGGACGACUUGAGCUUCGAGGAGCAACCAGUGAAGAUCUUGGCUCGCGAGGUUAAGAAACUACGGAAUCGGGACAUUCCGUAUGUAAUGGUCCUUUGGAGCAACCACGAGGAUCGGGAGGCCACGUGGGAGCUAGAGAGCGCGCUGCAGGAGCGCUAUCCCCAUCUCUUACAGAUGGAGUCUUGAGGUAUGUAGUUUGAUUUCGAGUUUCGCGGACGAAACCCCUUUUUAGGAGGGGUGAAUGUAACACACUGGACCUUUGCAAAUUGCGAGGUUCAAGUGUUUGAUCUGUGUUCCGAGCUUUGCCAGAUAUUCUGGAAGGUCGUUGACAGUGUUUUGACCUAUGGCUCGCAUCCCAAGAAUUGAGGUUUAAAGCUUGUACCAAAAUCCAAAAAGAUGGAUUGUUGGUCCUGCUCUCGGGUCAGCCUCAGCCAGGCUGUGUACCGGUACAGCCUUGAUGGUUGUACUGGUACAGGAUUUGUACCGAUACACCUUGAUGAUUGUACCGGUACACUUCGGGUUUUCUACCAACCCGAGGCUCGGGUUGGGCUGUUUCAUAGGAAGUGUACCGGUACACUUUCCCGUGUACCGGUACACUUUCCCGUGUACCGGUACACAAUGCAGACUGGGCUGUUUUCGAGGAGGGGUGUAUUUGCAAUUAUUGCAACCUCUUUAAAUACCACCCCAGCCCCUUUAGCUGCUCUUUUGAGCCCUAGACCUGUGGAGAAAAGGUGAGAACUCUUCCCCUUUGGAUUCUUCUCCAUUUUUGGUGGAUUUUAGUUGGUUUUGAUCUCUCCUUUCUUCUCCUCCUUGUUUUUUGUUGGGUUUCCUCCAUUGUUGAGACUUGGAGCUUGAAGAAGAGCUUGUUUGAGAAGAGAUCUCCAACCCUACUUGGUUUGGAGCUUGGUUUGGGGCAUCUUGUGAGGUUUGUAGCAUGUAUUUCUCUUUUCAUACAUGUUUUAGUGGAUUUGGAUCUUGUAACCCUAGAUUUUGAGAUUUAGGGUUAGAACUAGGAACUUUUGAUUUGAGGCUUCUAGAACCAAAUUGAUUGGUUUAGAAUCAUGGUUUAGGUUGGCUUUGAAGGAUUCUUACUCCCUUUUGGAAAUCAAGAGAGAUUUUCACCAUUUUCGGUGAGUUUUUAGCCCUUUCUUUGAGUUGCUUAAUGUUUGAACUCAUGAAUUGUCGUUUCGAUGUUACUCCCCUAGCCUAUCUCUUAGGGUGCUAGGAGUGAUUAUCGAAGCUUCGUUAGCGUUUCGGACGCCCGCGCGGAGCUUUUGGUGGGUUCGGCUUCAUGUGAAUAGGGGAAAAUUCCUCCUAAGGGGUUAAUAUGUGUUGUAUUAUCAUUUUGCAUGCAUUUUCAUACUAGAUAGGAUUUAUGUGAAUUUUGAAUACUUAAAAUGCAUGUGUUGCGUAUCAUGAAAAUCCUUCUCUACAUAGUAGAGCAUUAUGUGUAGUGUACAUGAAUGUUUAAAGUAUUCUCUUUUUCAAGUUGGAAAAUAUGUUGCAUGUGAGGAAGAUGGUUGAAAUAUGUAUUCAUGAAUAUUAAACUCAUGUUUGAAUAUAGUGAACUAGAAUGCCAUAAAGGGGCACUUGACUUAGCAAAUUGUGAAAUUGCAACAUAGAGACAUAGUGAUAGGCCAUCGAGACAUAUGCUAUAUUUCAUGUUUUAGACAUGACGACAUAGUGAUAGGCCAUUGAGAUAUUUUCCACAUUCCAUGUUUUAGACAUGAUGACUUGGUAUUUGAGACGGACUUUUACGCUUGCUUGCCAUUGUGCUCAUUCACACAUGCUUGUAAGGGUCGCUCCCUACAAGCCGGCACUCCGGAGAUAGCCAUCGCGACAUAUGCUCGCUCGUGCGGGAUUGGGCGCCGAAAUGGAAUGCCGUGGGGGAAGCUCAUUCCUAGAGUGGGGAUGUUGACUACCACGGGGCCAUUAGGCACGGCGCAGGCCAGACAGCCUACGGAUGGGUCUUACAUGAUUGGAACUUAGUGACAGAACAUGCCAUUUGGACUUUGACCAGAAUAGUAAACAAUGACAUUUACUAUUUAGCUUGUGGACAUUAUGUUAGUGAUGCUCGUUUAUAUUCUGUUACAGUAGCUUUAUUACUUAUGCAAUUCAUGCUAAGUAGAGAUAUCAUGUUGUAGUAAGUUACAUGUUUACUUACAUAUCGAUUCUAUUGCUUUUAUUGUUACUUACCUGUUUAGCUCUUUUGGGCCUAGUGGUGCUUUCACUGAAGUCAGUAAUUGCCACUGGGAACUAUUAUUUAAUAGUUCUCACGCCCCCGUUUCUAUGGUUUUAUUUCAGAGCCCUCUACACCGGUGGAGGCACGGGACCGCGGCAAGGGGAUCGCUUAGCUAGCUAGCGAGGAGCGUUUCUUUUGCAUUUUGGUAGUUCGCUCUCCUUUUGUUGUAGUUGAGAGAGAGAGAGUUAUGUUAGUACCUUGUAUAGAGAGACCACCUAUGUAUCUGGUUUAGCAUUUGUACUUUGGAUGUUUAUUGUACUACUUUCUAUUUUUUCUUAGUGGAUUUAGCUCUAUAUUCAUUUCGGUUAUUGUAGCAUCUAGACAUACUUGCUCUGAUACUGCUAGAUGUUUUCUUUAUCUUGCUUUAUUUAUCGUUUUAUUUUAGACGCCUUAUAUGUUUUAGACGUAUGCCGGGUCUGGGCACGUGCCGGGCGGGCUUUCGCUGGGUCCCGGGGCGUGACAACGGAACUCAUAGCAAGUAUGAUCCAUUCUUAACUCUAAGGAUAUAUAGUUCAAUCAUUGUCUUUACACUAACUCUAGUGUUCUUUACAUCACUUUAUUUUGCUAACUCUAGCAAUCAUCGUUCUUUAACUUUACUCGUUCUUUAUGCCAAACUUUGCAUUAACUUUAACCAUUAUCAUUGUUCUUUUCAUCACAUUGAUUCUUUGAUGCCACACACUAACUUUAGUGUCGACUAUAUACUUUCGAAUGCCACUCGAUCUAUGCUCAUUGUGUCUCGUUGUUCUUUUGCCUCACUUGGGUGCUCACAUUUUAUCUCAUGCAUACAUAUAGGGUUAAACAUUCAUAGGGGUUCUCAACCAUCUCAUUAGGCAAAUUGUACUCACAACAUGCAACAUUACAUUAUUCUCAUUACAUAUACCCUACUAUGCUUGCAACAAUGUAUAUAACAUAUACUCAAUUGAAUGACACACUAGGCAUAGAAGGAAGUUCAACGAGUUUGGAUAGCACCACCCACCUCGUAGGUUCUCAAAGGUGCUCCGACGAUUUUCUUGGGAUUUUUAGACACCCGGUUCGCUACCUGCGAGUUAACGAAGCCAAAUUAGGCUUAUUUGGCCGUAACUUUACAUCGGGUUUUCGUAACGUUAAUCCGAGCACACCAACGCGUCGGAAAUACCCCCAAUUAGGUUUCUAGAGGGUCAAUUGCACUUUAGAACCCUCGCAAGCAAAAGCCCCAAUUUUGGUGCCCUAGCUCAUAACAUACAUCAAACCUAGGGUUUGAUCUCAUUGGGAAGCAAAAGAAGCUUCAUUCUACGCUAAAGACUCCACAAAAACCAUCUUUAGUUCAAUCCAAACCCUAGUUUGGAUUCUACCAUGAGAGGGGUUGAAGCUCUCCUUCAAGCUUCACCUUCCACACCAUUCCAUGGUUUUGAUCUCAAAAUGAAGCAAAAGAUAGCUUCAAACACUCUAUAGGUUCUAUUAAAACCAUUUCUAGGUCCAUCCAAACCCUACUUUGAGCUUUACCACUAUUGGGGUUCAAAGCUUACCUUGUAAGCUUUCCUUUUCCAAGCUAGGGAAGGAGAGGAGGGGUCUUCUUCUCUUCCUUGCCUUCUUCUUCACCUUCUUCCUCUUCUUUUCCUUUCUUCUUCUUGUCUUCUUCUUCUCCUUCUUGUCUUCUAGAGAGAGAAAGAGAGAUGAGAGGGGGAGUGUGAGGGAGAGAAUGAGAUGAAAAGCCCUCAAAGCCCCCCACUUAACCAUUGGGUUGCACAAAUGCAAAUAGGCCCCUCAACUUUCACUUUAUUGAACUGCUUGAACUGGGCAGUUUUCGGGUUCGGGGACCGGUCUCCCAACUUGGGACCGGUCCCAGAGAGCUCUCCCGCAGCUCAGUGAGGGCCUUCGCACGAGGCAACCGGUCUCUCCCACAGAGACCGGUCUCUCGGGGACCGGUCUCUCCCCGCAGGGACCGGUUCCCGAGAGCUGGUUUUCUGGGACUUAGCCGAUUUGCAGCCUUUCUCAUUUCUCACGCGUUCGGGGACCGAUCUCUACCACCAGGGACCGGUCCCCGAGAGCUCAAAAACUGUAGUUUGCAGAUUUUUGAUUCUUUAGCUCUCGAAAACCUCCCACAACGCAUUUUUGAUCAUUUUAACACCUUCGGACUUUCCGAAGUGUACCACCCUCGCACUUUGGUCAAUUUGACUAAAGUUCGAUAUUUAUUUUUCAAAUUUUCGGUAUAUUACAUUCUCCACCCUUAAAAUAAUUUCGUCCGCGAAAUUACGCAUACCUUAACUCGUCGAUUCAAAUAGAUGUGGAUACUCUCUCCGCAUGAUCUCCUCGAGCUCCUAAGUGGCUUCUCGCGCCGCAUGGUUGCUCCAUUGGACCUUCACAUAUGGAAUUCUGCGACUCCGCAGCUUCCUUUCUUCUCGAUCGAGGAUGCACACCGGGUACUCCUCGUAAGACAUAUCUUCACGUAGCUCCACGGGCUCGUACUCCAAUAUAUGUGUCGAGUUUCGAAUAUACUUUCGGAGAUUUGACACAUGAAAAAUAUUGUGAACUCCUGCGAGUCUCGAUGGUAGUGCGAGCUUGUAUGCUACCGCACCCACACGCUCCAAUAUCUCAAACGGUCCGACAUAACAGGGACUUAGCUUCUCGUGGACCCCAAACCGCUUUACUCCUCGCAUCGGCGAUACUCUCAAAAAUACGCGGUCUCCAACCGCGAACUCUAAAUCUUUUCUUCUCUUGUCGGCAUAACUCUUUUGCCGAGAUUGUGCCGCCGCUAACCGUUGACGGGCAAGGCGAACUGUAAUGCAUUGGAAAAUUGACCUUGAGCUAAUUGUAAUCAAGUUGAUCACAAUGAUGUCAAAAUAGAAAUUAAGUGUUAAUGAACUUAAUUAGUAGAUUGAGAACAACAAUUGACUUAUUUUGGAACUGUGUAAGUGGGCUCGAAGUGAAUCGGAAGUGCCAAGUGUCACGCCCCGCCCCGAAACCACUACCAAUUUGGCACGGUUCGGUCGCGGCGACAGACCGCCGAACGGACAGCACCUCCCCUGUCCACCCAAGGCUCAACAACAGGAAUGUGUACAAGGAUUUACCCAGGACUUUAAAUUCUAAACAUACACAUUCAACGAGGGCACAAACAGUGCCAACAACGAGAAGAGCAAGUAAUCCACAAGAUAUAGUAUGUGAAAUAAAGAGAGUACUUUACUAACUAUUACAAUAGUUACAUUCUUUACAUUUACAUCAUUCUCCAAAAUGAAUACAUUUGAUCCUCAAAAUACAUAGCUCUCCAACCUCACCAUCAUGAAUCUCUCUCAAUACAUAGGUGUGCUAAUGCAAAAAGGGAAGCUACUAUACUACCACGGUCUCACUGAUCGGGCGCGAUGCCCUUGCCGCGGUCCUCUCUCGGCAACCCUGUACCUACCACUGGAAAUGGGAUGGGGUGAGAACUAUAUUCCAUAGAUUCCCAGUGGUCGGCCGCCGACUCUGCUGAUUCUCCCACUAGUGUCAAGUUGGGCAUCAGAGCAACAAACAGGUAGAUAGAUAGAUAGAUAUCUGAAAGUUUGUAAUAUGCAAGUUAGUAGCGAAAACUAUGCUUACAUAUGCCCAUAAUCAUGUAAUGUGGAUGCACUGCAUCUAAUAAAUAAGUUUUUACCAGGGCUAACAGAUGUCAUAUCCAUGUUCGAAUAGCUUAGUGUUCAAUGACAUUUAUUAACAACCUUAACUCUUUAUUUACCCAAUCUGUGGCGAGGCCUUAGGGCUGGCCAAUUACUCAGUCUUCAAAUCCCAAAGUGUGGGAAGUGGAGCUCCAAGUGACACCAGCCCGGGACCGUCUGGGGACUCAUUGGUCCGGACCUCCAAGUGGUCCUAGUUCGCGGUGACACUCGCGGACACUCGACGACAAUCCCUCCUAUGUGGGGAAUUGGAUGGCUAUACACCCUAACGCGACUGUGAGCCUAAUCUAUCCUCGAGUGAGGGAUACACUUGACAACUAGGUCAACACCAAGUCGCAGAUCUCUCAAGUAAUGGAGGCUCUACAACAGCUAGCGCUCACAUAAUCCAACUCGAAUCCUCUCCAAGUGAGGAAGCACUCUAUAACUAGAGUCAACAUCUCUCGCGGGAUCAUUUGUUCCCGACAUCCAUGCAAUGCUAUUUAGUUUUCUAAAUUCAUUGUUCACAAGGCAUUUUCUAAGGGAUCCACCUAUCCCUAGGUCCAUCGACCUCUAGUGUCAUUUACACUACAUUAAUGCCACUCGUCAUCAUUUAACAUUUGGAUGCCACUCGUGUGUUCUUUAACACUAAACACUACUUUCUAUGUCAUCAAUACCCCCAUCGGGUUCACCUCUUUUCUUUUACAUCAUAGGAUCCACGUUCCGACCCAAUCCUCACCUAUCUAAGUUACCAAGCGUUCCAAGUACACUAGGUUAUCAUUUAGAAAGCAUAAGGAAUGGAGCUACUAUGCAAUCCUACAAUGCAACAUGAAGAGAUGAGAUCAAAUGCAAUCUAAGACAUAGAAAGGAGUUCGAAAGCUUCGGGAUGACACCCCCCACCUUUUACCAACGUAGAGGUUUUAGAAGCGCUCCUCGACGAGCUUUACGAAAAGGCUUUUGCCUUCCCUAAUCCAAGAUAGCGCCGAAACGACCGUAAUUCGCCGAUUGUUCUAAGUCCGCUCGACGAAUCGCGAAAUCGACUUCGCCCCCGCGUUUGGGCACCUAUCGAUGAGGUUUACAAGGCCUCAAAUGAGAUCAAUCUCAUACUUUACAAAAUGCCCCCAUUUGGAGCCCUAGGUUUGCACAUAUAGCAAACCACCAAUAAAAUCCUAGAUUCUUGGGAUUGAUCUACUUAGAAGCAUGCUUGGGGUCCAUUUGACCCAUUCCAAAGCAUAAAAACCCAAAGCCCUAAGUUUACAAAGUAGGGUUUAGUAGCUUACCUCAAGAGCUACACCAAUGGGAAGAGGAGAGGGAGAUGGAGGUGCUCCAAGCCUUCCUCUUGAUCUCCUUCUUUUUCUCCUUCCUUAUCUUCUUCCUCUUUUCCUUCCUCUCCUUCUUGUUCUCCUUCUCCUUCUUUCCUUUCUAGAGAGAGAGGGAGAGAAAUAGAGAGAUGAGAGUGAGAGAGAGGAAUGAGAGAGUGUGAGGGAGAGAGAGGGCCCAGCCCACUCUAAUAAAGGCCAUUUUGCAUUUAGACCCCUCAACUUUUAACCCCUUGCGCAGCCCUCGCUGGGCAGUUUUCGUGCAGAGGGACCGGUCUCCCCGACUUGGGACCGGUCCCCGAGAGCUUCCCUCGGGCGCACGCGUUCGGGUACCGGUCUCUCCCCGGGAGACCGGUCCUCGGGAGACAGGUCCUCGCCUGAGAGACCGGUCCCCGAGAGCUCAAUUUUCAGGACUUAGCCAAAUCUCGGCAUUUCUCGCUGGAACCACGUUCGGGAACCGGUCCCUCACUGCCAGGGACCGGUUGCACCAUGCAACCCCGCACGCCCAGCCGAUGGGACCGGUCUCUCACCUCCAGAGACCGGUCCCCGAGAGCAACUUCAGCCCAAUAAUGCUGUUUGCAUCGUUAGCUCUCGUGGACUCAACUCCAAAGCACUUUUUGUGUUUUGGACAUUUUUAACUUCCCCAGAGGGUAUUCUCUCAACAAAUAGUCGAUCCUGGACGAAGUAUAACUCUCGAAUUUCGAGAAUUCACUUCCUUACAUUCUCCCCUCCUUAAAAGGAGUUUCGU